ACAACUAGGACCGACGGAGACACACAACAUCACCGAGUACAUCCCAUUGGAGUUCACAAAGACUUUUUUCCAAGCCCACGGAAUACAUCCCUCUAAUACAUCGAUUGCGUUUAAAAGGUGUAGGCCGUGCCCCUGCUGCCCAGAGUAUCCCAAGAAACCAUGUAUUGAAGCACCAAGCUGUUGCUAUCAGAUAAACUGCAAUGAUCCUGGGAAACCACUUGGUACUUGUACUGCACGUGCGAUCUCCUGUAAUUGUGAAAAUAGUUGCAAGUGAUCAAUUACUUUGCCGCAUGGUGAUGGAUAAUAAUAAUAAAGUAUGUUUCCCUUAAAAAGUUGUAUUUGUUUUCCCGCAAAAAACUGGAUUUUUAGUUAGCUAUGAAGAAGCAAAGAUAGAUUACGUUGACCCAAAACCAUGUGAAGCAUACCCAAAAUUUAAAAUACGGUAAAAAUAUAGGUGGAAGAAAGUUGAGAAUUGAGAACUGUUCAUGAAAAAGGUAUUGUAUUUUAAACAUCGGUUGUAAUAUCGUUACUUUUAGGUGGAAGUAAUAUUCGUCAUGGACAUUGCAAAAACAAACAAAAAACUAUAUUCACCAUGGUCGAAUCCCCUCCGCCUGCCGGCCUCCCCUGCCACCGCUCCUCGGCUGCUCGGGCAUGUGCUCCAGCGAUGUCAUCCUGCUCCAGCACCCAUCGGUAGAGCCUCCCACGGCACCUCUCCCGCUACCGACGCCCCCAGCAUGGAGGCUUAGAGCAUCUCCAGCCGUUGGAGGCCCAGGACAAUCGCCGUGCCAAAAAUAGCACGUCUUGGGGGCAAAACAUUUUCGCCGGAUGAAAUGCGAGUAUGUUUUCCCAGACGUUGGUGCCCCCAGGACAAUUAUCAGGCAAAAAGUGAUUGGGUGGGCCAAGAAAAAGGACGCGCGUGGGAAUAUGAUUGGUUGUUGCUUUCGCCUGCGCCCCCAACAGCCCCUAGCGCGCCUGGUUUCUCCUAGGUUUGCCGGUGCUAUUUUGAGGUCUUGGGGGCGCUUGGGGGGCAUGUCUGGGCUACUUUUUUGCCCUUUUUACAUUGCCGACACAUAAAAAGUGGCCCGGGGGGCUCUUGGGGUGCGGCUGGCGAAGCUCUUCGGAAGAAGAAUGGGGGAAUGAUGGCAUCCUGCAUGCAGCCCCGGGAGCCUACCUCCUCUAGCAUGAAACUUCCAGCCACUCGUUUGUGAUACAUAUACCGGCCAACCCAUACACCAAGAGUGUUGAAUGUCAAGAAAAAACUAAGAGUGCUGAUCGAUUCCCCUCUCACUCUCUUCCUUCUCUUGUUCUCCAUUACCAUUUUCUUUUGGUUUAACGACUACUCCUGCACAAGAGGGGCCGAAGAGGGGCCAUAUGCAUUUAUUAGUGUUGACAUUAUAUCUAUAAAUCACAUUUUUGUAAUUUAUUUAAAUAUGUAAAUGUAUUGGGCCCUUAUGGUUUCUUCGCUCUCAUUUUGUGCACUUUGUACAAUUUUGAAGCAAUGAUAAAUAAUUCAAAUAUGAAGCUCCAUGUGGCCAAUGAGAAGAUGGGUUUCCUUCUGUAAUCUUCCUCCGUGGAGUUAAGUGAUCAAACUUUGAGAUGUUGUUGUUGGGAACAUAGCAUGCAAUUUCAAAAAAUUUCCUAUGAUCACGCAAGAUCUAUCUAGGAGAUGCAUAGUAACGAGAGGGGGAGAGUGUGUCCACGUACCCUCGUAGACUGAAAGCGGAAGCAUUAGAUUAACGUGGUUGAUGUAGUCGAACGUCUUCGCGAUCCAACCGAUCAAGUACCGAACGUACGACACCUCCGAGUUCAGCACACAUUCAGCUCGAUGACGUCCCUCGAACUCUUCAUCCAGUAGAGGGUCGAGGGAGAGUUUCGUCAGCAUGACAGCGUGGUGACGGUGAUGGUGAUGUGAUCCGCGUAGGGCUUCGCCUAAAAACUACGACGCUAUGACCGGAGGAGUAAACUGUGGAGGGGGCACCGCACACGGCUAAGAGAACAAUUGAUGUGCUUGUUGGAAAUAUGCCCUAGAGGCAAUAAUAAAUUAGUUAUUAUAAUAUUUCCUUGUUCAUGAUAAUCGUUUAUUAUCCAUGCUAGAAUUGUAUUGAUAGGAAACUCAGAUACAUGUGUGGAUACAUAGACAACACCAUGUCCCUAGUAAGCCUCUAGUUGACUAGCUCGUUGAUCAAUAGAUGGUUACAGUUUCCUAACCAUGGACAUUGGAUUUCGUUGAUAACGGGAUCACAUCAUUAGGAGAAUGAUGUGAUGGACAAGACCCAAUCCUAAGCCUAGCACAAGAUCAUGUAGUUCGUAUGCUAAAGCUUUUCUAAUGUCAAGUAUCAUUUCCUUAGACCAUGAGAUUGUGCAACUCCCGGAUACUGUAGGAGUGCUUUGGGUGUGCCAAACGUCACAACGUAACUGGGUGGCUAUAAAGGUACAUUACAGGUAUAUCCGAAAGUGUCUAUUGGGUUGGCACGAAUCGAGACUGAGAUUUGUCACUCCGUGUAAACGGAGAGGUAUCUCUGGGCCCACUCGGUAGGACAUCAUCAUAAUGUGCACAAUGUGAUCAAGGAGUUGAUCACGGGAUGAUGUGUUAUGGAACGAGUAAAGAGACUUGCCGGUAACGAGAUUGAACAAGGUAUCGGGAUACUGACGAUCGAAUCUCGGGUAAGUACAAUAUCGAUAGACAAAGGGAAUUGUAUACGGGAUUGAUCGAAUCCACGACAUCGUGGUUCAUCCGAUGAGAUCAUCGAGGAGCAUGUGGGAUCCAACAUGGGUAUCCAGAUCCCGCUGUUGGUUAUUGGCCAGAGAGUCGUCUCGGUCAUGUCUACGUGUCUCCCGAACCCGUAGGGUCUACACACUUAAGGUUCGGUGACGCUAGGGUUAUAGAGAUAUUAGUAUGCGGAACCCGAAAGUUGUUUAGAGUCCCGGAUGAGAUCCCGGACGUCACCAGGAGUUCCGGAAUGGUCCGGAGGUAAAGAUUUAUAUAUAUGGGAAGUCUUGUUUUGGUCGCCGGAAAAGUUUCGCGCAUUAUCGGUAUUGUACCGGGAGUGCCGAAAGGGGUCUGGGGGUCCACCAAGGGGGUCCACCUGCCCCGGGGGGGCACAUGGGCUGUAGGGGUGUGCGCCUUGGCCUAUAUGGGCCAAGGGCACCAGCCCCAAGAGGCCCAUGCGCCAAGAGAUAAGGGAAAAGAAGAGUCCUAAAGGGGAAGGCACCUCCUAGGUGCCUUGGGGAGGAUGGACUCCUCCCUGGCCGCACCCUUCCUUGGAGGAAGGGCCAAGGCUGCGCCCCCCCCUCUCCCUUGGCCCUAUAUAUAGUGGGGGGAAGGGAGGGCAGCCUAACCUAAGCCCUGGCGCCUCCCUCUCCCUCCCAUGACACAUCUCCCUCCCCCCGUAGCGCUUGGCGAAGCCCUGUUGGAAUCCCGCUACUUCCACCACCACGCCGUCGUGCUGCUGGAUCUCCAUCAAUAUCUCCUCCCCCCUUGCUGGAUCAAGAAGGAGGAGACGUCGCUGCUCCGUACGUGUGUUGAACGCGGAGGUGCCGUCCGUUCGGCGCUAGGAUCAUCGGUGAUUUGGAUCACGACGAGUACGACUCCAUCAACCCCGUUCUCUUGAACGCUUCCGCGCGCGAUCUACAAGGGUAUGUAGAUCCACUCCUCCCUCGUUGCUAGAUGACUCCAUAGAUUGAUCUUGGUGACACGUAGGAAAAUUUUGAAUUAUUGCUACGUUCCCCAACAGUGGCAUCAUGAGCUAGGUCUAUUGCGUAGAUUCUAUGCACGAGUAGAACACAAAGUAGUUGUGGGCGUUGAUUUUGUUCAAUAUGCUUACCGUUACUAGCCCAAUCUUGAUUCGGCGGCAUUGUGGGAUGAAGCGGCCCGGACCAACCUUACACGUACGCUUACGUGAGACCGGUUGCACUGACUAACAUGCACUAGUUGCAUAAGGUGGCUGGCGGGUGUCUGUCUCUCCCACUUUAGUCGGAUCGGAUUCGAUGAAAAGGGUCCUUAUGAAGGGUAAAUAGCAAUUGGCAUAUCACGUUGUGGUCUUUGCGUAAGUAAGAAAUGUUCUUGCUAGAAACCCAUAGCAGCCACGUAAAACAUGCAAACAACAAUUAGAGGACGUCUAACUUGUUUUUGCAGGGUAUGCCAUGUGAUGUGAUAUGGCCAAAAGGAUGUGAUGAAUGAUAUAUGUGAUGUAUGAGAUUGAUCAUGUUCUUGUAAUAGGAAUCACGACUUGCAUGUCGAUCAGUAUGACAACCGGCAGGAGCCAUAGGAGUUGUCUUAACUUAUUUAUGACCUGUGUGUCAACAUAAACGUCAUGUAAUUACUUUACUUCAUUGCUAACCGUUAGUUGUAGUAGUAGAAGUAAUAGUUGGCGAGACAACUUCAUGAAGACACGAUGAUGGAGAUCAUGAUGAUGGAGAUCAUGGUGUCAUGCCGGUGACGAUGAUGAUCAUGGAGCCCCGAAGAUGGAGAUCAAAAGGAGCAAAGUGAUGAUGGCCAUAUCAUGUCACUAUUUGAUUGCAUGUGAUGUUUAUCAUGUUUUUGCAUCUUAUUUGCUUAGAACGACGGUAGUAAAUAAGAUGAUCCCUCAUUAAAAUUUCAAGAAAGUGUUCCCCCUAACUAUGCACCAUUGCGAAAGUUCGUCGUUUCGAAGCACCAUGUGAUGAUCGGGUGUGAUAGAUUCUUAUGUUCGAAUACAACGGGUGUUGACGAGUCUAGCAUGUACAGACAUGGCCUCGGCACACAUGCAAAACACUUAGGUUGACUUGACGAGCCUAGCAUGUACAGACAUGGCCUCGGAACACAAGAGACCGAAAGGUCGAGCAUGAGUCGUAUAGAAGAUACGAUCAACAUGAAGAUGUUCACCGAUGUUGACUAGUCCGUCUCACGUGAUGAUCGGACACGGCCUAGUUGACUCGGAUCAUGUAAUCACUUAGAUGACUAGAGGGAUGUCUAUCUGAGUGGGAGUUCAUAAGAUGAACUUAAUUAUCCUGAACAUAGUCAAAAGGUCUUCGCAAAUUAUGUCGUAGCUCGCGCUUCAGUUCUACUGUUUAGAUAUGUUCCUAGAGAAAAAUUUAGUUGAAAGAUGAUAGUAGCAAUUAUGCGGACUAGGUCCGUAAACUGAGGAUUGUCCUCAUUGCUUCAUAGAAGGCUUAUGUCCUUAAUGCACCGCUCAGUGUGCUGAACCUCGAAUAUCGUCUGUUGAUGUUGCGAACAUCUAAUAUACACAUUUUGAUAACUACAUGAUAGUUCAGUGCGUAAUGCUAAAUGGUUUAGAAUUGAGGCACCAAAGACGUUUUGAAACGUCGCAAAACAUAUGAGAUGUUUCGAGGGCUGAAAUUGGGAUUUCAGGCUUGUGCCCACGUCAAGAGGUAUAAGACCUCCGACAAUUUUCUUAGCCUGCAAACUAAGGGAGGAAAGCUCAAUUGUUGAGCUUGUGCUCAGAUUGUCUGAGUACAACAAUCAUUUGAAUCGAGUGGGAGUUGAUCUUCCAGAUGAGAUAGUGAUGUUUCUCCGAAGUCAUUACCACCAAGCUGCUAGAGCUUCGUGAUGAACUAUAAUAUAUCAGGGACAUAUAUGAUGAUCCUUGAGAUAUUCGCGAUGUUUGACACCACAAAAGAAGAAAUCAAGAAGGAGCAUCAAUUGUUGAUGGUUGGUGAAACCACUAGUUUCAAGAAGGGCAAGGGAAAUAAGGGAUACUUCAUGAAACUGCAAAUCAGCUGCUGCUCUAGUGAAGAAACCCAAGGUUGAACCCAAACCCGAGACUAAGUGCUUCUGUAAUAAGGGGAACAGCCACUAGAGCAGAAUUACCCUAGAUACUUGGUAGAUGAGAAGGCUGGCAAGGUCGAUAGAAGUAUAUUGGAUAUACAUUGUGUUAAUGUGUACUUUACUAGUACUCCUAGUAGCACCAUGGUAUUAGAUACCGGUUCGGUUGCUAAGUGUUAGUAACUCGAAAUAAAAGCUACGGAAUGAACGGAGACUAGCUAAAAGGUGAGAUGACAAUAUGUGUUGGAAGUAUUUCCAAGGUUGAUCAAAUAUCGUACGAUCCCCCUACCAUUGAGAUUGGUAUUAAAACCUAAAUAAUUGUUAUUUGGUGUUUGCGUUGAGCAUAGGCAUGAUUGGAUUAUGUCUAUCGCGAUACAGUUAUUCAUUUAAGGAGAAUAAUGGUUACUCUGUUUAUUUGAAUAAUACCUUCAAUGGUCUUGCACCUAAAAUGAAUGGUUUAUUGAAUCUCGAUCGUAGUGAUACACAUGUUCAUGCCAAAAGAUAUAAGAUAGUAAUGAUAGUACCACCUACUUGUGGCACUGCCACUUAAGUCAUAUCAGUAUAAAAUGCAUGAAGAAGCUCCAUGUUGAUGGAUCUUUGGGCUCACUCGUUUUUGAAAAGUUUGAGACAUGCGAACCAUGUCUAUUGGUGUAUAUGCAUAAAGAAACUCCAUGCAAAUGGACCAUUUGGACUCACUUGAUUUUGAAUCACUUGAGACAUGCAAAUCAUACCACAUAGGCAAGAUGACUGAAAGCCUCGGUUUCAGUAAAAUGGAACUAGAAAGCAACUUGUUGGAAGUAAUACAUUUUGAUGUGUGCAGUCCAAUGAGUGCUGAGGCGUGUAGUGGAUAUCGUUAUGUUCUUACUUCACAAAUGAUUUGAGUAGAUGUUGAGUAAAUUUACUUAAUGAAUCACGAGUCUGAAUUAUUGAAAGGUUCAAGUAAUUUCAGCGUGAAGUUGAAAGAUCGUCGUGACAAAAGGAUAAAAUAUCUAUGAUAUGAUCAUAGAGAUAAAUAUCUGAAUUACGAGUUUGGCACAGAAUUAAGACAUUGUGGAAAUUGUUUCACAACCGAUACAGCCUGGAACACCAUAGGGUGAUGGUGUGUCCGAACAUCAUAACUGCACCCUAUUGGGUAUGAUGCAUACCAUGCUGUCUCUUAUCGAAUUACCACGAUAGUUUAUGGGUUAGGCAUUAGAGACAACCACAUUCACUUUAAAUAGGGCACCACGUAAUUCCGAUGAGAUGACACCGUAUGAACUAUGGUUUAGAGAAACCUAAGCUGUCAUUUCUUAAAAGUUUGGGGCUGCGACGCUUAUGUGAAAAAGUUUCAGGCUGAUAAGCUCGAACCCAAAGCGGAUAAAUGCAUCUUCAUAGGACACCCAAAACAGUUGGGUAUACCUCCUGUCUCAGAUCCGAAAGCAAUAAGGGAUUGUUUCUAGAAUCGGGUCCUUUCUCGAGGAAAAGUUUCUCUCGAAAGAAUUGAGUGGGAGGAUGGUGGAGACUUGAUGAGGUUAUUGAACCGUCUCUUCAACUAGUGUGUGGCAGGGCACAGGGAGUUGUUCCUGUGGCACCUACACCAAUUGAAGUGGAAGCUUAUGAUAGUGAUCAGGAAACUUCAGAUCAAGUCACUACCAAACCUCGUGGGAUGACAAGGAUGUGUACUACUUCAGAGUGGUACGUAAUCCUGUCUUGGAAGUCGUGUUGCUAGACAACAAUGAACCUACGAGCUAUGGAGAAGCGAUGGUGGGCCUGAAUUCUGAUAAAUGGCUCGAGGCCAUAAAAUCCGAGAUAGGAUCCAUGUACUAAAACAAAGUGUAGACUUUGGAAGAACUACUUGAUGGUCGUAAGACUGUUAGGUACAUAUGGAUUUUAAAAGGAAGACGGACAAUGAUGAUAAGUAUCACCAUUAAGAAAGCUCGACUUGUCGUUAAGAUGUUUUCCGACAAGUUCAAGGAGUUGACUACGAUGAGACUUUCUCACUCGUAGCGAUGCUAAGAGUCUGUUGGAAUUAUAUUAGCGAUUACUGCAUUAUUUAUGAAAUCUUGCAGAUAGGAUGUCAAAACAUUGUUUCCUCGAUGAUUUUCUUGAGGAAAGGUUGUAUGUGAUACAACCGGAAGGUUUUGUCAAUCCUGAAAGAUGCUAAUAAGUAUGCAAAGCUCCAGCAAUCCUUCUAAGGACUGGAGUAAGCAUCUCGGAGUUGGAAUGUACGCUUUGAUGAGUUGAUCAAAGAUUUUAGGUUUAUACAAAGUUUAUGAGAAACUUGUAUUUCCAAAGAAGUGAGUGGGAGCACUAUAGAAUUUCUGAUGAGUAUAUGUUGUUGACAUAUUAUGGAUUAGAAAUGAUGUAGAAUUUCUGGAAAGCAUAUAGGGUUAUUUGGAAAGUGUUUUUCAAUGGAAAGCCUGGAUUAAGCCACUUGAACAUUGAGCAUCAAGAUCUAUAAGGAUAGAUCAAAACGCUUAAUGGUACUUUCAAAUGAGCACAUACCUUGACAUGAUCUUGAAGGUGUUCAAGAUGGAUCAGUCAAAGAAGGAGUUCUUGCCUGAGUUGUCAGGUAUGAAGUUAAGACUUAAAGCUCGACCGCGGCAGAAUAGAGAGAACGGAAGAAGGUCGUCCCCUAUGCUUAAGACGUAGGCUCUACAGUAUGCUAUGCUAUGUACCGCACCUGAAGUGUGCCUUGCCAUGAGUCAGUCAAGGGGUACAAGAGUGAUCCAAGAAUGGAUCACAGGACAACAGUCAAAGUUAUCCUUAGUAAAUAGUGGACUAAGGAAUUUUCUCGAUUAUGGAGGUGAUAAAAGAGUUCGUCGUAAAGGGUACGCCGAUGCAAACUUUGACACUAAUCCAGAUUAUUCUGAGUAGUAAACUGGAUUCGUAUAGUAGAACAGUUAUUUGGAAUAGCUCCAAAUAGAACGUGGUAGCUGCAUCUAGGAGAUGACAUAGAGAUUUGUAAAGCACACACGGAUCUGAAAGGUUCAGACCCGUUGACUGUAACCUCUCUCACAAGCAUAACAUGAUCAAACCCAGAACUCAUCGAGUGUUAAUCACAUGGUAAUGUGAACUAGAUUAUUGACUCUAGUAAACUCUUUGGGUGUUAGUCACAUGGGGAUGUGACCUUGAGUGUUAAUCACAUAGCGAUGUGAACUGGAUUAUUGACUCUAGUGCAAGUGGGAGACUGUUGGAAAUAUGCCCUAGAGGCAAUAAUAAAUUAGUUAUUAUAAUAUUUCCUUGUUCAUUAUAAUCGUUUAUUAUCCAUGCUAGAAUUGUAUUGAUAGGAAACUCAGAUACAUGUGUGGAUACAUAGACAACACCAUGUCCCUAGUAAGCCUCUAGUUGACUAGCUCGUUGAUCAAUAGAUGGUUACGGUUUCCUGACCAUGGACAUUGGAUGUCGUUGAUAACGGGAUCACAUCAUUAGGAGAAUGAUGUGAUGGACAAGACCCAAUCCUAAGCCUAGCACAAGAUCAUGUAGUUCAUAUGCUAAAGCUUUUCUAAUGUCAAGUAUCAUUUCCUUAGACCAUGAGAUUGUGCAACUCCCGGAUACCGUAGGAGUGCUUUGGGUGUGCCAAACGUAACAACGUAACUGGGUGGCUAUAAAGGUACAUUACAGGUAUAUCCGAAAGUGUCUAUUGGGUUGGCACGAAUCGAGACUGGGAUUUGUCACUCCGUGUAAACGGAGAGGUAUCUCUGGGCCCACUCGGUAGGACAUCAUCAUAAUGUGCACAAUGUGAUCAAGGAGUUGAUCACGGGAUGAUGUGUUACGGAACGAGUAAAGAGACUUGCCGAUAACGAGAUUGAACAAGGUAUCGGGAUACUGACGAUCGAAUCUCGGGCAAGUACAAUACCGAUAGACAAAGGGAAUUGUAUACGGGAUUGAUCGAAUCCACGACAUCGUGGUUCAUCCGAUGAGAUCAUCGAGGAGCAUGUGGGAGCCAACAUGGGUAUCCAGAUCCCGCUGUUGGUUAUUGGCCGGAGAGUCGUCUCGGUCAUGUCUACGUGUCUCCCGAACCCGUAGGGUCUACACACUUAAGGUUUGGUGACGCUAGGGUUAUAGAGAUAUUAGUAUGCGGUAACCCGAAAGUUGUUCGGAGUCCCGGAUGAGAUCCCGGACGUCACGAGGAGUUCUGGAAUGGUCCGGAGGUAAAGAUUUAUAUAUGGGAAGUCUUGUUUUGGUCGCCGGAAAAGUUUCGCGCAUUAUCGGUAUUGUACUGGGAGUGCCGAAAGGGGUCCGGGGGUCCACCAAGGGGGUCCACCUGCCCCGGGGGGCCACAUGGGCUGUAGGGGUGUGCGCCUUGGCCUAUAUGGGCCAAGGGCACCAGCCCCAAGAGGCCCAUGCGCCAAGAGAUAAGGGAAAUGAAGAGUCCUAAAGGGGAAGGCACCUCCUAGGUGCCUUGGGGAGGAUGGACUCCUCCCUGGCCGCACCCUUCCUUGGAGGAAGGGCCAAGGCUGCGCCCCCCCCUCUCCCUUGGCCCUAUAUAUAGUGGGGAGAAGGGAGGGCAGCCUAACCUAAGCCCUGGCGCCUCCCUCUCCCUCCCAUGACACAUCUCCCUCCUCCCGCAGCGCUUGGCGAAGCCCUGUUGGAAUCCCGCUACUUCCACCACCACGCCGUCGUGCUGCUGGAUCUCCAUCAACCUCUCCUCCCCCCUUGCUGGAUCAAGAAGGAGGAGACGUCGCUGCUCCGUACGUGUGUUGAACGCAGAGGUGCCGUCCGUUCGGCACUAGGAUCAUCGGUGAUUUGGAUCACGACGAGUACGACUCCAUCAACCCCGUUCUCUUGAACGCUUCCACGCGUGAUCUACAAGGGUAUGUAGAUCCACUCCUCCCUCGUUGCUAGAUGACUCCAUAGAUUGAUCUUGGUGACACGUAGGAAAAUUUUGAAUUAUUGCUACGUUCCCCAACAGUGCUAUGGGGUGCCCCUGCCCCGUAUAUAAAGGAGGAGGGGAGGAGGCCGCCCGCCUAGGGGCGCGCCAUGGUGGGGGGAAACCCACUAGGACUCCUAGUCCUAGUAGGUUUCCCCUUCCUUCCUAUGGAGGGGGAAAGAGGGAAGGGAGAGGGAAGAGGAGAAGGAAAGGGGGGUGCGCCCCCACCCCUAGUCCAAUUUGGACUCCCUAUGGCAGGGGGGUGCGACCACCCCUUGUGGGCUGCCCCCCGUAUCCCCUAUGGCCCAUGUAGGCCCAUUACUUUCCACGGGGGGUUCCGGGAGUUGCAUAAUCUCAUAGUCAAAGGAAUAUGUAUAAGUCAUGAAGAAAGCUAUAGCAAUAAAACUGAACGAUCAAUAUGCUAAGUUAACGGAUGGGUCAUGUCCAUCACAUCAUUCUCCUAAUGAUGUGAUCCCGUUCAUCAAAUGACAACACAUGUCUAUGGUUAGGAAACUUAACCAUCUUUGAUUAACGAGCUAGUCUAGUAGAGGCUUACUAGGGACACUGUGUAUUGUGUAUGUAUCUACACAUAUAUAAAGUUUUCGGUUAAUAGAAUUCUAGCAUGAAUAAUAAGCAUUUAUCAUGAUAUAAGGAAAUAUAAAAUAACAACUUUAUUAUUGCCUCUAGGGCAUAUUUCCUUCAGUCUCCCACUUGCACUAGAGUCAAUCAUCUAGUUCACAUCACCAUGUGAUUUAACACUAAUAGUUCACAUCUUUAUGUGAUUAACACCCAUAGUUCACAUUGCCAUGUGACCAACACCCAAAGGGUUUACUAGAGUCAAUAAUCUAGUUGACAUCGCUAUGUGAUUAACACCCAAAGAGUACUAAGGUGUGAUCAUGUUUUACUUGUGAGAGAAGUUUUAGUCAACAGGUCUGCCACAUUCAGAUUCGUAUGUAUUUUGCAAAUUUCUAUGUCUACAUUGCUCUGGACAGAGUUACUCUAGCUAAUUGCUCCCACUUUCAAUAUGUAUCCAGAUGGAGACUCAGAGUCAUUCAGAUCGGUGUCAAAGCUUGCAUCAACAUAACUCUUUACGACGAACUCUUUAUCACCUCCAUAACCGAGAAAUAUUUCCUUACUCUUCUAAGGAUAAUUUUGAAUGUUGUCUAGUGAUCUACUCCUGGAUCACUAUUGUACCCCUUUGCCAGACUCAUGGCAAGGUACGCAAUAGUUCUGGUAUAUAGUGUGUCAUACUUUAUAGAACCUAUGGCUAAGGCAUAGGGAAUGACUUUUAUUCUCUCUCUAUCUUCUGCUGUUGUCGGGUUUUGGGUCUUACUCAACUUCAUACCUUACAACUCAGGUAAGAACACUUUCUUUGACUGAUCCAUUUUGAACUUCUUCAAAACUUUAUCAAGGUAUGUGCUUUGUGAAAGUCCUAUUAAGCGUCUUGAUAUAUCUCUAUAGAUCUUGAUGCCCAAUAUAUAUAAGCAGCUUUACCGAGGUCUUUCAUUGGAAAACUCUUAUUCAAGUAUCCUUUUAUGCUAUCCAAAAAAUCUACAUCAUUUCCAAUCAACAAUAUGUCAUCCACAUAUAAUAUGAGAAAUGCUACAGAGCUCCCACUCCCUUUCUUGUAAAUACAGGCUUCACCAUAAGUCUGUAUAAAACCAUAUGCUUUGAUCACCUUAUCAAAGUGUAUAUUCCAACUCCGAGAUGCUUGCACCAGUCCAUAGAUGGAUUGCUGGAGUUUGCACACUUUGUUAGCACCUUUAGGAUGAACAAAACCUUUUGGUUGCAUCAUAUACAACUCUUCUUUGAUAAAUCCAUUAAGAAAUAUAGUUUUGACAUCCAUUUGCCAGAUUUCAUAAAAUGUAACAAUUGCUAACAUGAUUCAGACAGACUUAAGCAUUGCUACGAGCUAGAAAAUCUCAUCACAGUCAACACCUUGAACUUGUCAAAAACUUUUGCGACAAGUCGAGCUUUAUAGGUAGUAACACUACCAUCAGCGUCCAUCUUCCUCUUGAAGAUCCAUUUAUUCUUAAUGUCUUGCCGAUCAUUGGGCGAGUCCACCAAAGUCCACACUUGUUCUCAUACAUGGAUCCUAUCUCAUAUUUCAUGGCCUCAAGCCAUUUAUUGAAAUCUGGGCUCAUCAUCGCUUCCUCAUAAUUCGUAGGUUCGUCAUGGUCUAGUAACAUGACUUCCAGAAUAGGAUUACCGUACCACUCUGGUGCGGAACGUACUCUGUUUGACCUACGGGGUUCGGUAGUAACUUGAUCUGAAGUUUCAUGAUCAUUAUCAUUAGCUUCCUCACUAAUUGGUGUAGGCAUCACUGGUACUGAUUUCUAUGAUGAGCUACUUUUCAAUUCAAGAGGAUGUACAAUUACCUCAUCAAGUUCUACUUUCCUCCCACUCACUUAUUUCGAGAGAAACUCCUUCUCUAGAAAGGAUCCAUUCUUAGCAACAAAGAUCUUGCCUUCAGAUCUGUGAUAGAAGGUGUACCCAACAGUUUCUUUUGGGUAUCCUAUGAAGACGGACUUCUCCGAUCUGGGUUCGAGCUUAUCGAGCUGAAGCUUUUUCACAUAAGCAUCGCAACCCCAAACUUUAAGAAACGACAGCUUAGGUUUCUUGCCAAACCCUAGUUCAUACAAUGUCAUCUCAAUGGAUUUAGAUGGUGCCCUAUUUAACGUGAAUGCAGCUGUCUCUAAUGCAUAACCCCAACAUGAUAGUGGUAAAUCGGUAAGAGACAUCAUAGAUUGCACCAUAUCUAAUAAAGUACGGUUACGACGUUCGGACACACCAUUAUGCUGUGGUGUUCCAGGUGGCAUGAGUUGUGAAACUAUUCUAGUUUGUUUUAAAUGAAGGCCAAACUCGUAACUCAAAUAUUCGCCUCCGGAAUCAGAUCGUAGAAAAUUUAUUUUUCAUGUUACGAUGAUUCUCCACUUCACUCUGAAAUUCUUUGAACUUUUCAAAUGUUUUAGACUUGUGUUUCAUUAAGUAGAUAUACCCAUAUCUUCUUAAAUCAUCUCUGAAGGUUAGAAAAUAAUGAUUCCUGCCGCGAGCCUCAACACUCAUCGGACCGCAUACAUCGGUAUGUAUUAUUUCCAAUAAGUCAGUGGCUCGCUCCAUUGUUUCGGAGAACGGAGUCUUAGUCAUCUUGCCCAUGAGGCAUGGUUUGCAAGCAUCAAAUGAUUCAUAAUCAAGUGAUUCCAAAAGUCCAUCCGCAUUCAUGCGCUUUACACCAAUAUGACCUAAACGUCAGUGCCACAAAUAUGUUGCAUUAUCAUUAUCAACUUUGCAUCUUUUGGCAUCAAUAUUAUGAAUAUGUGUAUCAUUAUGAUCGAGAUUCAAUAAACCAUUCACAUUGGGUGUAUGAUCAUAGAAGGUUUAUUCAUGUAAAUAGAACAACAAUUAUUCUUUGACUUAAAUGAAUAAUUGUAUUGCAAUAAACAUGAUCAAGUCAUAUUUAUGCUCAACGCAAACACCAAAUAACAUUUAUUUAGGUUCAACACUAAUCCCGAAGGUAGAGGGAGUGUGCGAUGGUGAUGAGUGGUGGAGCUAGAUGCAGGUUACGCCUGGGGCUGUGCUAUGUUGAGUGAUAAACUUCUAUGAUUUUCUAUACUUUGUAUGAAGAAAUUAUAAGGGAAGUUGUUUCUAGGCCUGGGGCUAUAGCCCUAGCUGCCCCAUGCCUGUCUCCACCAUUGAUGGUGAUCUUAUCAACCUUGGAAUCACUUCCAACACACAUCAUCACCUUGUCCUUAACUAGUCUAUGUUUAUUUUCCAACUCCUGUUUUGAGUUACUAAUCCUAGCAACUGAACCGGUAUCAAAUACCCAGGGGUUAAUAGGAACACUGGUAAAGUACACAUCAAUAACAUGUAUAUCAAAUAUACCUUUGUUAACUUUGCCAUCCUUCUUAUCCGCCAAGUAUCUAGGGCAGUUCCACUUCCAGUGACCAUUUCCUUUGCAGUAGAAGCACUCAGUUUCAGGCUUGGGUCUAGCGUUGGGCUUCUUCAUGGGAGUCGCAACUUGAUUACCAUUCUUCUUGAAGUUCCCUUUCUUUCCCUUUGCCCUUUUUCUUGAAACUAGUGGUCUUGUUAACCAUCAACACUUGAUGUUCUUACUUGAUUUCUACCUUCGCCGAUUUCAACAUCGCGAAGAGCUCGGGAAUCAUUUUCGUCAUCCCUUGCAUAUUAUAGUUCAUCACGAAGUUCUAGUAACUUGUUGAUAGUGACUAGAGAACUCUGUCAAUCGCUAUCUUAUCUACAAGAUUAACUCCCAUUUGAUUCAAGCGAUUGUAGUACCCAGACAUUCUGAGCACAUGCUCACUAGCUGAGCUAUUCUCCUCCAUCUUGUAGGCAAAGUACUUGUCAGAGGUCUCAUACCUCUUAACACAGUCAUGAGUCCGAAAUAUCAUUUUCAGGUUCUUGGAACAUCUCAUAUGCUCCAUGGCGUUCAAAACAUUUUUGAAGUUCCGGUUCUAAGCCGUAAAGUAUGGUGCACUAAACUAUCAAGUAUGGUGCAACAGGUUCGUCACCUAGUGGUGCAUCAAGGACAUAAUUCUUCUGUGCAGCAAUGAGGAUAAUCCUUAGAUCAUGGACCCAGUCCGCAUCAUUGCUACUAUCAUCUUUCAACUUGUUUUCUCUAGGAACAUAUCAAAAAUAAAACAGGGGAGCUAUGCGUGAGCUAUUGAUCUACAACAUAGAUAUGCAAAUACUAUUAGGACUAAGUUCAUGAUAAAUUAAGUUCAAUUAAUCAUAUUACUUAAGAACUCCCACUUAGAUAGACAUCCCUCAAGUUAUCUAAAUGAUCACGUGAUCCAUAUCAACUAAACCAUGUCCGAUCAUAACGUGAGAUGGAGUAGUUUUCAAUUGUGAACAUCUCCAUGUUGAUCAUAUCUACUAUAUGAUUCACGUUCGACCUUUCGGUCUCCAGUGUUCCGAGGCCAUGUCUGUACAUGCUAGGCUCGUCAAGUUUAACCCAAGUAUUCUGCAUGUGCAAAACUGUCUUGCAUCCGUUGUAUGUGAAUGUAGAUCCUAUCACACCGGAUCAUCACGUGGUGUCGCAGCACGACGAACUGUUGCAAUAGUGCAUACUCAGGGAGAACACUUAUACCUUGAAAUUUUAGUGAAUGGAUCAUCUUAUAAUGCUACCGCCAUACUAAGAAAAAUAAGAUGCAUAAAAGAUAAACAUCACAUGCAAUUAAAAUAUGUGACAUGAUAUGGCCAUCAUCAUCUUGUGCCUUUGAUCUCCAUCUCCAAAGCACCGUCAUGAUCUCCAUUGUCACUGGCUUGACACCUUGAUCUCCAUCGUAGCAUCGUGGAUGUCUCACCAACUAUUGCUUCUAAAACUAUUUUCUAACACAUAGUGAUAAAGUAAAGCAAUUACAUGACGUUUGCAUUUCAUACAAUAAAGCAACAACCAUAAGGCUCCUGCCAGUUGCCAAUAACUUUUACAAAACAUGAUCAUCUCAUACAACAACGUAUAUCACAUCAUGUCUUGACCAUAUCACAUCACAACAUACCCUGCAAAAACAAGUUAGACGUCCUCUACUUUGUUGUUGCAAGUUUUACAUGGCUGCUAUGGGCUUCUAGUAAGAACCAUUCUUACCGAUGCAUCAAAACCACAACGGUGAUUUAUCAAGUUUGUUGUUUUAAACCUUCAACAAGGACCGACCACAGUCAAAUUCGAUUCAACUAAAAUUGGAGAAACAGACACCCGCCAGCCACCUUUAUGCAAAACUAGUUGCAUGUCUGUCGGUGGACCCGGUAUCAUGAACGUGGUCAUGUAAGGUUAGUCUGGGCCGCUUCAUCCAACAAUACCGCCGAAUCAAAAUAAGACAUUGGUGGUAAGCAAUAUGACGAUCACUGCAGAUACGUCUCCAAUGUAUCUACUUUUCCAAACACUGUUGCCCUUGUUUUGGACUCUAACUUUUAUGAUUUGAAUGGAACUAACCCAGAGUGACGUUGUUUUCAGCAGAAUUGCCAUGGUGUUAUUUUUGUGCAGAAAUAAAAGUUCUCGGAAUGACAUGAAAAUCAACGGAGAUUAUUUUCGGAAUUAAUAAAAAAUACUGGCGAAAGAAUCAAGGCCAGGGGGCCCACACCCUGUCCACGAGGGCGGAGGGCAUGCCUAAUCCCCUCGGCGUGUCCCCUGCCUCGUGGGCCCCUGGUGCUCCAACGACCUCAACUCGAACUCUAUAUAUUCACGUUUAGGGAGAAAAAAAUUAGAGAGAAGGAUUCAUCGCGUUUUACGAUACGGAGCCGCCGCCAAGCCCUAAUCUCUCUCAGGAGGGCUGGUCUGGAGUCCGUUCGGGGCUCUAGAGAGGGGAAUACGUCGCCAUCGUCCUCACCAUCAUCAACCUUCCUCCAUCACCAAUUUCAUGAUGCUCACCGCCGUGCGUGAGUAAUUCCAUCGCAGGCUUGCUGGAAGGUGAUGGGUUGGAUGAGAUUUAUCAUGUAAUUGAGUUAGCUUUGUUAGGGUUUGAUCCCUAGUAUCCACUAUGUUCUGAGAUUGAUGUUGCUAUGACUUUGCUAUGCUUAAUGCUUGUCACUAGGGCCCGAGUGCCAUGAUUUCAGAUCUGAACCUAUUAUGUUUUCAUGAAUAUAUGUGAGGUCUUGAUCCUAUCUUGCAAGUCUAUAGUCACCUACUAUGUGUUAUGUUCCGGCAAUCCCGAAGUGACAAUAAUCGGGACCACUCCCGGUGAUGACCGUAGUUUGAGGAGUUCAUGUAUUCACUAUGUCUUAAUGCUUUGGUCCGUUAAUCUAUUAAAAGGAGGCCUUAAUAUCCCUUAGUUUCCAUUAGGACCCCGCUGCCACGGGAGGGUAGGACAAAAGAUGCCAUCCAAGUUCUUUACCAUAAGCAUGUAUGACUAUAUUUGGAAUACAUGCCUACAUUACAUUGAUGAAUUGGAGCUAGUUCUGUGUCACCCUAUGUUAUAACUGUUGCAUGAAUAAUCGCAUCCAGCAUAAUUCUCCAUCACCGAUCCAAUGCCUACGAGCUUUUCACAUAUUGUUCUUCGCUUAUUUACUUUACCGUUGCCACUGUUACAAUCACUACAAAACUAUCACUGUUACUUUUGCCACCGUUACUGUUACUUCCAUAUUACUUUGCUGCAAAUACUAAGUUAUCCAGGUGUGGUUGAAUUGAAAACUCAACUGCUAAUACUUGAGAAUAUUCUUUGGCUCCCCUUGUGUCGAAUCAAUAAAUUUGGGUUGAAUACUCUACCCUCGAAAAUUGUUGUGAUCCCCUAUACUUGUGGGUUAUCAAGACUAUUUUCUAGUGCCGUUGUCGGGGAGCAUAGCUCUAUUCUUUGAGUCACUUGGGAUUUAUAUCUGUUGGUCACUAUGAGGAACUUGAAAGACGAGAAAACCAAAAUUUAUCCCUCAACUACGAGGGGAGGUAAGGAACUGCCAUCUAGCUCUGCACUUGAUUCACCUUCUGUUUUGAGUAAGCUUGCAACACCUAAACCUGCUUCUGCUAUGAAUUCUGAUAUGUCGCAUGUUAUUGAUGAUGCCACUUCUGGUAUGCAUGAUACUUAUGAUGAAACUACUUCUAUGUUUGAUACUACUGUGCCACUUGUUGAAUUUCUUAAUGAACAACUUGCUAGGGCUAGAGAGAAUGAAAUUAUUGAAACUAACAAUAUUGAUGAAAGUGAUGAUGAAGAUUCUCCCCUAGAUAUGAAUUGCCUGUUGUGCCUGAGGGUUAUGUUAUGGAUGAAGAAACUGCUAGAGACUUUAUAGAAAAAUCUCUGAAUGCUAGAAUGAAACAUGACCCUGCUUUUGCUACUUCACCUAUCUUUAUUACUGAUAAGGAUUAUGAUUUCUCUGUUGAUCCUGAGAUAAUUACUUUGGUUGAAUCUAAUCCUUUUUAUGGCUAUGAAUCUGAAAAUGUUGUGGCACAUGUUACUAAAUUAAAUGAUAUAGGCACCCUGUUCACUAAAGAUGAGAAAACUCGCUACUAUUAUAUCCUUAAAUUAUUUCCAUUCUCAUUAAAGGGUGAUGCUAAGAUAUGGUUUAAUUCUCUUGAUCCUGGUUGUGUGCGUAGUCCCCAGGAUAUGAUUUAUUACUUCUCUACUAAAUAUUUCCCUGCUCAUAAGAAACAAGCUGCCUUAAGGGAAAUAUAUAGUUUUGUGCAAAUUGAAGAAGAGAGUCUCCCACAAGCUUGGGGGAGGCUUCUCCAAUUACUUAAUGCUUUUCCUGGUCAUCCUAUCAAGAAAAAUGAAAUACUUGAUAUCUUUUAUAAUGGACUAACUGUUGCUUCCAGAGACCACCUGGAUAGUUGUGCUGGUUGUGUUUUCAGGGAAAGAACAGUCGAUCAAGCUGAAAUUCUAUUGAAUAAUAUGUUGACCAAUGAAAAUAAUUAGACACUUCCUGAACCAAUUUAUAAGCCAACUCCGAAGAAAAGGGGUGUUCUAUUUCUCAGUCCUGAAGAUAUGCAAGAGGCAAAGAAAUCUAUGAAAGAAAAAGGUAUAAAAGCUGAAGAUGUUAAGAAUUUACCUCCUGUUGAAGAAAUACAUGGUCUAAAUUCAACUCCUAUUGAAUAAACACACAAUCUUGAUAACCCUACACAGGUAGUAAAGGUAAACUCUCUCUAUAGAUAUGAUAAAGCUGAAAUCCCUCCUGCUAAGUUUGCUAGCCAAUGUUUGGAUGAAUUUGAUAACUUUAUGGUUAAGCAAGAAGAUUUUAAUGCUUAUUUUGGUAGACAACUGAAACGCAAUGCUUAUAUGAUUGAACACUUGGGUGAUCAUAUGUCUAGAGUUAAAGGUGAACUUAAACUCAUUAGUAAACAUGCUUAUAUGGUUACCACUCAAGUAGAACAAGUACUUAAAGCUCAGAAUGAUUUGCUCAAUGAGUUGAAUAGUAAGAAUAAUGACUUUGCUGUUAGAGUUGCAACUAGAGGGGGUAAAGUGACUCAGGAACAUUUGUAUCCUGAAGUUCACCCUAAGAGAAUUGAGCAGGAUUCUCAGAGAACUAAUGUAGAUGCACCUAGUCCUUCUAAAAAGAAGAAAAAGAAAAAUGAUAGGACUUUGCAUGCUUCUAGUGAACCUGUGCUACCUCUUGAGCACUGCGUUGGUUUUUGGUUUUCCCUUGAAUAGGAAAGGGUGAUGCAGUAGAGAAGCGUAAGUAUUUCCCUCAAUUUUUGAGAACCAAGGUAUCAAUCCAGUAGGAGGCCACGCACGAGUCCCUCACACCUACACAAACAAUAAACUCCUCGCAACCAACGUGAUAAAGGGGUUGUCAAUCCCUUGACGGUCACCUACGAGAGUGAGAUCUGAUAGAUAUGAUAAGGUAAUAUUUUUGGUAUUUUUAUGAUAAAGAGAAAUAAAGAUGCAAGUAAAAUAAAUGGCAAAGGAAAUAACUAAGUAUUGGAAGAUUAAUAUGAUGGAAAAUAGACCCGGGGCCAUAGGUUUCACUAGUGGCUUCUCUCGAGAGCAUAAAUAUUACGGUGGGUGAACAAAUUACUGUUGAGCAAUUGACAGAAUUGAGCAUAGUUAUGAGAAUAUCUAGGUAUGAUCAUGUAUAUAGGCAUCACGUCCGAGACAAGUAGACCAACUCCUGCCUGCAUCUACUACUAUUACUCCACACAUCGACCGCUAUCCAGCAUGCAUCUAGAGUAUUAAGUUCAAGAGAACAGAGUAACACUUUAAUCAAGAUGACAUGGUGUAGUGGGAUAAACUCAUGUAAUAUGAUAUAAACCCCAUCUUGUUAUCCUCGAUGGCAACAAUACAAUACGUGCCUUGCUGCCCUUACUGUCAUUGGGAAAGGACGCCGCAAGAUUGAACCCAAAGCUAAGCACUUCUCCCAUUGCAAGAAAGAUCAAUCUAGUAGGCCAAACCAAACUGAUAAUUCGAAGAGACUUGCAAAGAUAACCAAUCAUACAUAAAAGAAUUCAGAGAAGAUUCAAAUAUUGUUCAUACAUAAACUUGAUCAUAAAUCCACAAUUCAUCGGUCUCAACAAACACACCGCAAAAGAAGAUUACGUCGAAUAGAUCUCCACAAGAGAGGGGGAGAACUUUGUAUUGAGAUCCAAAAAGAGAGAAGAAGCCAUCUAGCUAAUAACUAUGGACCCGAAGGUCUAAAGUAAACUACUCACACUUCAUCGGAGGGGCUAUGGUGUUGAUGUAGAAGCCCUCCGUGAUCGAUACCCCCUCCGGUGGAGCUCCGGAAAAGGCCCCAAGAUGGAAUCUCGUGGAUACAGAAAGUUAAAGCGGUGGAAUUAGGAUUUUGGCUCCGUAUCUGGUAGUUUGGGGGUACGUAGGUAUAUAUAGGAGGAAGGAGUACAUCGGUGGAGCAACAUGGGCCCCACGAGGGUGGAGGGCGUGCCUGGGGGGGGGGGGUAGGCGCCCCCUACCUCGUGCCUUCCUGGUUGAUGUCUUGACAUAGGGUCCAAGUCCUCUGGAUCACGUUCGUUCCGAAAAUCACAUUCCCGAAGGUUUCAUUCCGUUUGGACUCCGUUUGAUAUUCUUUUUCUGCGAAACUCUGAAAUAGGCAGAAAACAACAAUUCUGGGCUGGGCCUCCGGUUAAUAGGUUAGUCCCGAAAAUAAUAUAAAAGUGUAUAAUAAAGCCCAAUAGUGUCCAAAACAGGAUAUAAUAUAGCAUUGAACAAUCAAAAAUUAUAGAUACGUUGGAGACGUAUCAAGCAUACCCAAGCUUAAUUCCUGCUUGUCCUCGAGUAGGUAAAUGAUAAAAAUAGAAUUUUUGAUGUGGAAUGCUACUUGGCAUAAUUUCAAUGUAAUUCUCUUAAUUGUGGUAUGAAUAUUCAGAUCCGAAAGAUUCAAGACAAAAGUUCAAUAUUGACAUAGAAAUAAUAAUACUUCGAGCAUACUAACUAAGCAAUUAUGUCUCUUCAAAAUAACAUGGCCAAAGAAAGUUAUCCCUACAAAAUCAUAUAGUCUGGCGAUGCUCCAUCUUCACCACACAAAGUAUUUAAAUCAUGCACAACCCCGAUGACAAGCCAAUCAAUUGUUUCAUACUUUUGGUGUUCUCAAACUUUUUCAAUCUUCACGCAAUACAUGAGCAUGAGCCAUGGACAUAGCACUAUAUGUGGAAUAGAAUGGUGGUUGUGGAGAAGACAAAAGGGGAGAAGAUAGUCUCACAUCAACUAGUCGUAUCAAUACUCUAUGAAUGAUGAUCAUCACACUUCUAUUUAUUUACAACUCAAUGAUUACAACUCGAUACUAGAACAAAGUAUGACUCUAUAUGAAUGCCUUCGGUGGUAUACCGGGAUAGCAAUGAUGCAUGAGUGACUUAUAUGAAAGAAUUAUGAAUGGUGGCUUUGCCACAACUAAAAUGUCAACUACAUGAUCAUGCGAAGCAAUAUGACAAUGAUGGAGUGUGUCAUAGUAAAUGGAACGGUGGAAAGUUGCAUGGCAAUAUAUCUCGGAAUGGCUAUGGAAAUGCCAUGAUAGGUAGAUAUGGUGGCUGUUUUGAGGAAGGUAUAUGGUGGGUGUAUGAUACCGUCGAAAGGUGUGCGGUAUUAGAGAGGCUGGCAAUGGUGGCAGGGUGAGAGUGCGUAUAAUCCAUGGACUCAACAUUAGUCAUAAAGAACUCACAUACUUAUUGCAAAAAUCUAUUAGUUAUCGAAGCAAAGUACUACGUGCAUGAUCCUAGGAGGAUAGAUUGGUAGGAAAAGACCAUCGCUCGUCCCCGACCGCCACUCAUAAGGAGGACAAUCAAUAAAUACAUCAUGCUCCGACUUCUUAACAUAAAGGCUCACCAUACGUGCAUGCUACGGGAAUCACAAACUUCAACACAAGCAUUUCUCAAUUUCACAACUACUCAACUAGCACGACUCUAAUAUCACCAUCUCCAUAUCUCAAAACAAUUAUCAAGUUUCAAACUUCUCAUAGUAUUCAACACACUCAUAAGAAAUUUUUAUUAUUAAUCUUGAAUGCCUAAAAUAAUUAGAGCAAUUUACCAUGCUGUUUUGUAGGACUCUCAAAAUAAUAUAAGUGAAGCAUGAGAGAACAAAAGUUUCUAUAAAACUAAUCCACCAUCGUGCUCUAAAAGAUAUAAGUGAAGCACUAGAGCAAAACUAUAUAACUCAAAAGAUAUAAGUGAAGCACAUAGAGUAUUCUAACAAUUUACGAAUCAUGUGUGUCUCUCUCAAAAAGGUGUGUGCAGCAAGGAUGAUUGUGGGAAACUAACAAAUAAAGACUCAAAUAAUACAAGACGCUCCAAGAAAAACACAUAUCAUGUGGUAAAUAAAAAUAUAGCUCCAAGUAAAGUUACCGAUAGAAGUAGACGAAAGAGGGGAUGCCUUCCGGGGCAUCCCCAAGCUUUGGCUUUUAGGUGUACUUAGAUUAUCUUGGGGUGCCAUGGGCAUCCCCAAGCUUAGGCUCUUGCCACUCCUUGUUCCAUAAUCCAUCAAAUCUUUUACCCAAAACUUGAAAACUUGACAACACAAAACUUAAAGUAGAAAAUCUCGUGAGCUCCGUUAGAGAAAGAAAACAAAACACCACUUCAAGGUACUAUAAUGAACUAAUUAUUUAUUUAUAUUUGUGUUAAACCUACUGUAUUCCAACUUAUAUAUGGUUUAUAAACUAUUUUACUAGCCAUAGAUUCAUCAAAAUAAGCAAACAACACACGGAAAACAGAAUCUGUCAAAAACAGAACAGUCUGUAGUAAUCUGCAGCUAACACAAGUUCGGAAGCCCAAAAUUCUAAAAUAAAUUGCUGGACGUGAGUAAUUUAUCUAUUAAUUAUCUUCAAAAAGAAUUAACUAAAUAUCACUUUCCAAAUAAAAAUGGCAGCAGUUCUCCUGAGCGCUAAAGUUUCUGUUUUUUACAGCAAGAUUAAAAAGACUUUCCCCAAGUCUUCCCAACGGUUCUACUUGGCACAAACACUAAUUAAACACAAAAAACACAACCAAACCAGAAGCUAGAUAAAUUAUUUAUUACUAAACAGGAGCAAAAAGCAAGUAAUAAAAUUGGGUUGCCUCCCAACAAGUGCUAUCGUUUAACGCCCCUAGCUAGGCAUAAAAGCAAGGAUAGGUCUAGGUAUUGCCAUAAUAAUAAGAUAGAUCAUUAAAACUCAUUUCAUAUUCUCUAUGUUUGGCAGCAAGUUUUCUUUGAGGCAAGCAAAAGUAAUCAAAAGGGCUAAAUUUAAUGGGACAAAAGUCCCCAAGAUCCAUUUUGGGAGGUAUAGGUUCCUCCUUUGGCCCUUCGUAUUGCACAACCAAUUCAUCAUUAUAAGCAUUCUUUUGAUAGAACUUUGUGAGCCUAUACUCAAGAUAAUAUCCUAGUUCAUUAUUUCAAAUAGCCAAAUCAUUAUUAAGUUCAGAAAUUCUAUCAACUAGAACAUUGGUAGGAACCCUUUUUCUAGGAUUUUCAAUGAAAGCAACAUAGUCUAGAGAUUGAAAACACAUUAUUUCUUCUUGAUCAAAAAGGAUAGCCUCUAUGGGAGGACGGCAAGCGUCCACCCUAUAAUGUGCAAAGAUUUCUUUGGCCUAUUUUAUUAUGAAUCUAAACUCAUGAGCCAAAAAUAUAGUAGCGGCACGCUUAACAGAAGAAUGCUCAAUAUUAGAAAAUUCUAGGAAAAUCCUUUGUAUGCAAGGAUGCAUGUGCAUAAAUUGUCUUUCAAGUUCAACUACAAGCAUGGCGAUAGCGUCCGCGAGACUACUAGUUCUAUGAAGGAUAGAGCUACCCAUAAAGGCAAAGCACCGGCACAAGUAAAGAAAUCUUGGAUAACUCCUUUUCCAAUAAUAUUACCACUACCAAUUCGGAUUUUUUUUUGUAUGUAAGAUGCUGGGUUCUUCAGCAGGAGCAUCAGAAUUUUUCAUGAUAUUAUUAUUGUCCAUAUCAACAAUAAUUUCCCCAAUUUCAGACAUAACGGCGGAAAGUGCAAGGGGCAAAAAGAGGCAAAUAGCGAAAGAGAGGGAGGAUGGAGAGAGAGAGGGCGAAUAAAACGGCAAGGGUGAAGUGGGGGGAGAGGAAAACAAGAGGCAAAUGGCAAAUAAUGUAAUGCGGGAGAUAAGGGUUUGUGAUGGGUACUUGGUAUGUUGACUUUUGCGUACACUCCCCGGCAACGGCGCCAGAAAUCCUUCUUGCUACCUCUUGAGCACUGCGUUGGUUUUCCCUUGAAGAGGAAAGGGUGAUGCAGCAGAGCAGCGUAAGUAUUUCCCUCAGUUUUUGAGAACCAAGGUAUCAAUCCAGUAGGAGGCCACGCACGAGUCCCUCGCACCUACACAAACAAAUAAACUCCGCGCAACCAACACGAUAAAGGGGUUGUCAAUCCCUUCACGGUCACCUACGAGAGUGAGAUCUGAUAUAUAUGAUAAGAUAAUAUUUUUGGUAUUUUUAUGAUAAAGAUAAAUAAAGAUGCAAGUAAAAUAAAUGGCAAAGGAAAUAACUAAGUAUUGGAAGAUUAAUAUGAUGGAAAAUAGACCCGGGGGCCAUAGGUUUCACUAGUGGCUUCUCUCGAGAGCAUAAGUAUUAUGCUUGGUGAACAAAUUACUAUUGAGCAAUUGACAGAAUUGAGCAUAGUUAUGAGAAUAUCUAGGUAUGAUCAUGUAUAUAGGCAUCACGUCCGAGACAAGUAGACCGACUCCUGCCUGCAUCUACUACUAUUACUCCACACAUCGACCGCUAUCCAGCAUGCAUCUAGAGUAUUAAAUUCAAGAGAACGGAGUAACGCUUUAAGCAAGAUGCCAUGAUGUAGAGGGAUAAACUCAUGCAAUAUGAUAUAAACCCCAUCUUGUUAUCCUCAAAGGCAACAAUACAAUAUGUGCCUUGUGUCGUGGUUCUAAGUCUGACAGUAGAAUGGGGGUAGGGAUGUAGAGGCAAGAUCCUAGCUAUGGAGGAGUUGUACACGCGAGUUUUACGAGUUCAGGCCCUUCACGGAGGAAGUAAUAGCCCUUCGUCUCGGAGCCCGGAGGCGGUCGACUGAUUAUAUGCGUGUGAGUUACAGGGGGUGCGAACCCUUGUCCCAUAGGAGGGGGGUGGCUUAUAUAGAGUGCGCCAGGACCCCUGCUCCCCUCUGUUACACAUGGUUCAAUGCACAUUAAGAGAGGAACGUUACUGGUAACGCUAGCCAUUAAAUGCUAUAAAUGACAAUUAAGCCUAUAAGUAAAUGCUCGACCGUUGUUGGUGCAGAGUGGCUUUAGAUCUUCUGUUCAUCGAGUGGCUUGUGCGACGGUCGAGUGCCAUUGAUUCUUCCGAGUGGAACGUCUCUGGUCGAGAGGAUAAUGGUACCCUUUGAAUGAUUCUGGCUUUAGGGUGAUGUCCUAGGGGAAGGUGUCUAAGUCAGGCUUAUGACCCUACCCUAGGUACAUAACCUCAUCAUUAGCCCCCGAAUGGUUCAGGGUCCGAGUGGAGAAGGAGUUGACAACCUCUCCAAUUCAGCUUUUGCGCUUCGGGAAUGUCUUGUCCAGAGGUCGAAUGAACAUUCAAGAUGACUUCAACUUCUUGUUCAGUCACCUUCAUCCAUUCUUGAUUUUGUCGAGUGAACUUUUAUUGUUGAGCUUCGAGUGUUGUGAUGAGAAAAAAAUCUUCCAUCUGACGGGUUGCUCUGCUGUCUGUGGAUUUCACGGGAUUCAAAUUUUGGGAAGCGCGCCGGACGGGCGAGACCGCAGUAAUCGGGGCGGAUUAGGCAGGCCGCCUUGAUCUCCACGCCACCUUUUUGGCCAUGUAUCACGCGCGCGACUGUUGUGGGAUUUGAUCGGAUCGCCUGGGCCCACGAGUCAGCCACUCGGAAAUGCCCUCAUAUAAGGCGUUGGACGGGGAUUUUCGCAUAGUGCGUUCUCAUUGUUCCCCUUUAUCUUCUGUUUUCUUCACUGCAUCCACCUCUGCUCUCGGUGUCGUCGCCCUGCUCGAGCUCGAUCAGCUGCCAUGGGGAAGGAGAAGACGGUGGCGUUGGAGCGUGCGAAGAAGGCGACGACGAAGGCGAAAGGGAAGAGGACCAGCCAGGGCGGAUCUUCGUCGAGGUCCGGCCUGCCGCCUGGCUGGAUCCAGGGAGACUGGAUCCGCUCGACAAUCAGCCAAGAUGACAUCGAUGACCUGGUGGAGGGGGGACUGAUCCCCCACAAAUCGGCGCGGCUCCCGGGGAACGAGACUGAGCCGCAGCCGCGGGAGGGUGAGUGCAUUCUCCUAGCCACUCAUGUCGACCGCGGGUUUUCUUUUCCUCCCCAUCCUUUCUUUCACGGUUUCUUGAACUUCUUUGGGGCUCAACUCCACCACUUUUCUCCAAACACCAUCGUGUACCUUGCCGCUUUCGUGUCCAUGUGCGAGAACUUCUUGGGUUGUCGACCACACUGGGGUCUCUUCAAGCACAUAUUCACGUGUCGCUCUCAGACGGUCAAGAAGGCCAACCCGAGUGACGAGAGGACCCACGUGAUACAGAUGUGCGGGGGUCUUGGAAUUCAGAUGAGGAAGAAAAGCUCUUUCCCAACUAUGAUCCUUCCCGACUCGGUCCGGGGUUAGCAGUCGACCUGGUUCCACUGCAAGGACCAGCCGACUCUGGGCCAGUCGACUGGACUUCCCCCCUUUUCCAUGGCUCGAGUGAAGAAGCCUUCCACCUUGAGAGUGAUCCCAGAGGAGAAGGUGCAGGUGAAGGUGUUGGUCGAGCGGGUUGUCCAACUUGUCCGCGACGGAGUGACCGGUAUGGACCUGUUGGAGGUCUUCCUGAGUCGACGCAUCCAACCACUCCAAGCUCGUGACCAUCCAAUGUGGAUGUACUUGGGACUCGAGGAUUCCACUCGGAUCCACCCGGAGGAUGUCAGGGAGGACACAAUGGAGCAAUGGUUGAGAGGUAUUACCGGCAACAAGCAUAACCCCCGGGGGUCCAGGAGGGUGGUUCCAUUCGACCAUUUGCGCCAGCCGGAACAGGUACGAUUCUACAUUGUCGAGUGUCUUCUUGAUUUACUAUGUAGCAUCUUGUUGACGGCCGACUGUCUUUCUUUUGUUCGUUAUCUUUUAGGCUCUUGUUGAUAUGUACUCAAUGCCCAAUGGAGUGCAGGAGCAAAAUGUCGAGGGAGAGGCGAGCGGGGGCGAGAGCGGCGAGUGGCACUCGUAUGCAGAAGGAGGACGAGGAGAGCGACGACCCGAGUGAUGAAGAAGAGGUCGACUCACCUCCUCGCAGAGAAAGGAGGUCCAAGCACGCUCACGACCUGGCAAGCACCCCUGACCUGGUGGCCGCACCAACUGGGCAGUCUUCAAAGUGCCCUCAGACGUCUUAUCCAGUGCCGACUGAGAAGGUAUCGAAACAGCCCAAGACUGCGCCGCCUCCAGUGCCGAAACCACCGAAGGCCACAUCUUCCAAAGCUCCGAAGGCUUUGCCCAAAAUCAGAGUGGUCAUUCCCACAGUCUCUGGGUAACAAUCUGGCCUGAUCCUUUGGUUGACUUGGGUAACAAAACGUAACCGACUGAAUGCUGAUAUUUGUAGUGCUGCCACUUCUGGAACUUCUAACCACCAGUACCGAGACGAGGAGAUGGAAGACGCGGUUACCUCCAACCCAGGUACAAUUCUCGUGAUCUUGUUCUUGAUUAUUUGGUCGAUUAAAUUCUGGUGAUUCACUUGGGGUCGACUGAUUUCAUUGCAGCCCCACUCAAUGUUAUCGAGCUUCCGGAUGACGAUGAAGACGUGAUACCAAGGCCCAGAAGGAGCAAGAAAGCAGCAGCUGGCAAGAUAUCCCAGUCAGAGCCGGCAACAGAACCAACAGUCCAGCUGCCUGAAGAUGCAGGUAGAGCCUCCAUAACUUUUGCUGUCCCAGUGUCGAGUGAACGCCCCGCACCGUCGACUGUACCGGUGUUUUCUUCAGUCAUCGGACCCCAUGCCUCGGAGCCCCAAGCUGCUACAUUUGGACCAUCUGUCCCCUUCUUCACCACCUAUCAUGUUCCGGAAAGCCAAUCAGACGCCGCUGCAGAGGCUAUCCGUCAGGUUGGCGUAAUGAUGGAGUGGAUGAAGGCUGUGCAAGACAAUAGCCAGGCUGCUUACGAUGCCAGCGCGGCUCUCCGAGCCAAUGUCCAGGUAAGUUGACUUUCGACUGAACUUUUUCUAUUAGGAUAUGCUACCUGAAUAUUUUCCUUCGUACAAUCUCUUAUAGUCUACUUCGAAUCUGUACACCCACUGGGUGUUUUGCUGUCUUUAGUAUUUGCACUCUUGCACUUGGUCUGGUUGAAUGGGUUCUGAAUCAGUGGGGGCACACUAAGUGCACCCACUGGGUGUAGUCCCUGAGACCGCAGUCGACUGCGGGCAGUCGGUUGGGGUCUGAGCGCUUCUUUCUCUUUCCUUUCUUCCACUCGACCUGGGCGGAGCAUGCCGAGUGGAAACUAAACCAGUGGGGGCACGCCAAGUGCACCCACUGGGUGUAGUCCCCCAAGACCGUGGUUGGCUGAUGGCAGUCGGCCGGGGUCUGAGUACUUUUUUUUAAACUUGACAUGGGCGGACCGGCCGAGUGGAAACUGAACCAGUGGGGGCACGCCAAGUGCACCCACUGGGUGUACUCCCCGAGACCGCAGUCGACUGCUGGCAGUCGGUUGGGGUCUGAGUAAACUUUGAAAUUUUAUUCACUCAGAAGUAAAUAAUCUUUGAUCUUGUCGAUUGAUAUGUCUUUUACUCUCUGCAGAAAUCUUGUACUCUCAUUUCCAAGUUCGCCGAAUUUGAGGAGAAGCAGAGGCAGCUCAACCUUGACCUGGAACUGGCCCAACAAAACUUGAAGAAGGCUCAAGACGAAGUUGCCGGUAUGGAAGGUAACUGCAUGUCGACUGCUCAUGUCGAUCGUCUUUUUAAAUUAUCCCUUCGAUCUUUUGUUUGAUCUAAAUGUUUAUUUUGCAGAGAAAAUGAGGUUGGCUCUGCAGAAGAAGGACUUGGACCUUGCAGCUGCGUAGAAGGAGGCUCAAGAGAAGACUACUCUUGCUGACAAAAAGCUGGCUUCAGUCAGAGAGCUGGAAGAGGAAGUAAGCAAGCUGAAGUCCUCUCUCACUGAAUCCAACCGAGAGGCGACUCGUCUGAAGAAGGAUAAGGUGGCUUUGAAUGAGAAGCUGGAAUCCAUGGCUCGUAGGAGAAAUGACUUGGAAGCUUAUCUGAGAACUCUCGCCAAGAAGCUAUUUCUUAUGCUCGAAGGUACCCUUUUUAAUCCGACUACUUUACUGCAUGCAAGUUAGUCCUAUCCAGUCGACUCACUAACUCCUUGACUGCAGAAUUCUGCCAAAACUUUGAUGAGGAGACUGGACGGAUCGAGACGGGUUUGGACCCUAUUGUUUCUCUAGUCAGCGACGAGGCUGCCAUGAAUGUGCUUCGACUAGAAUCCUGCGUCGCCAGUGUUACAAGUUACCUUGCUCGUUUGAAGGUGGCAGUUUCACGCAUCGACUCAUCACUCUGGCCAAGGGCGAUGCUUCAAAAUGAUCUCGAGUCUCUGAUGACUCGACUCAACAAGGUCCCCGGUCGAGUGCAGGAAUGGAAGAAGUCCUCUACCCGAUGCGGUGCUGACGUGGCUCUGUCGCUGGUAAGAGUCCAUUGCAAGGAGGCCCGCGAAGAUAAGCUGGCGGCAAUCAAGGUCGCCAACACCAAAAGGCAUGACUUACAGUCCUUCAUGGAGACUUUCAUUGCCGCUGCCACUCGGAUCGCUGAUGGAAUUGACUUGGACGAAUUCGUCAUGCCUGCGAGCCCUCCUCCUGCUGAAUGAACAAACUUGAGAUUUAAACUUGCCUUAAAUUUGCCUCGGAAUGCCGAGUGGUUUCUGUAACCGUUAAACUCUUUUGGGCCUGAUGCGUGAGUACUUUUAUCUUCGUUUUGAGACUUUUGAGAUUUUAUCCGAUCUUGGUUUAUCUUUUGUAUGUGCUUGCGUUCAUCUUCGAGUAGAACUUGUUCUUCGCUCGGACACUCCUUCGAAAUGCAAUUCUGAAGGGGAUAUCCCAGUCGACCUGCACCUCGCCGUCCUUGCGAAGAAGGAUGGAGCACACAUUGUAUUUGUGGCGCAGCUCCGAGGAGAGGGUUGUGGUCGACCUGCACCUCGUCAUCCUUGCGGAUAGGGAUGGAGCGGACAUUGUACUUGUAGCGUAGCUUCGUGAGGGAUUGCAGUCGACCUGCACCUCGUCAUCCUUGCGGAUAGGGAUGGAGCGGACAUUGUACUUGUAGCGUAGCUCCGUGAGAGGAUUGCAGUUGACCUGCACCUCGUCAUCCUUGCGGAUAGGGAUGGAGCGGACAUUGCACUUGUAGCGUAGCUCUAUGAGAGGAUUGCAGUCGACCUGCACCUCAUCAUCUUUGCGGAUAGGGAUGGAGCGAACAUUGUACUUGUAGCGUAGCUCCGUGAGAGGAUUGCAGUCGACCUGCACCUCGUCAUCCUUGCGGAUAGGGAUGGAGCGGACAUUGUACUUGUAGUGUAGCUUCGUGAGAGGAUUGUAGUCGACCUGCACCUCGUCAUCCUUGUGGAUAGGGAUGGUUUUGGAACUUAGGCGUGUACUGGACUGCAGCUAGGCCUCCGAGUGUGAGGUUUGCUCAUCACUCGGUAGGAUUUUUGAAACUUAGGCGAGUACUGGACUGCAGCUAAGCCCCCGAGUGUGAGGUUUGCUCAUCACUCGGUAGGAUUUUUUAAACUUAGGCGAGUAAUGGACUACAGCUAAGCCUCCGAGUGUGAGGUUUGCUCACCACUCGGUAGGAUUUUUGAAACUUAGGCAAGUACUGGACUACAGCUAAGCCCCCGAGUGUGAGGUUUGCUCAUCACUCGGUAGGAUUUUUUAAACUUAGGCUAGUACUGGACUGCAGCUAAGCCCCCGAGUGUAGGAUUUUCUAAACUUAGGCGAGUACUGGACUGUAGNNNNNNNNNNNNNNNNNNNNNNNNNNNNNNNNNNNNNNNNNNNNNNNNNNNNNNNNNNNNNNNNNNNNNNNNNNNNNNNNNNNNNNNNNNNNNNNNNNNNNNNNNNNNNNNNNNNNNNNNNNNNNNNNNNNNNNNNNNNNNNNNNNNNNNNNNNNNNNNNNNNNNNNNNNNNNNNNNNNNNNNNNNNNNNNNNNNNNNNNNNNNNNNNNNNNNNNNNNNNNNNNNNNNNNNNNNNNNNNNNNNNNNNNNNNNNNNNNNNNNNNNNNNNNNNNNNNNNNNNNNNNNNNNNNNNNNNNNNNNNNNNNNNNNNNNNNNNNNNNNNNNNNNNNNNNNNNNNNNNNNNNNNNNNNNNNNNNNNNNNNNNNNNNNNNNNNNNNNNNNNNNNNNNNNNNNNNNNNNNNNNNNNNNNNNNNNNNNNNNNNNNNNNNNNNNNNNNNNNNNNNNNNNNNNNNNNNNNNNNNNNNNNNNNNNNNNNNNNNNNNNNNNNNNNNNNNNNNNNNNNNNNNNNNNNNNNNNNNNNNNNNNNNNNNNNNNNNNNNNNNNNNNNNNNNNNNNNNNNNNNNNNNNNNNNNNNNNNNNNNNNNNNNNNNNNNNNNNNNNNNNNNNNNNNNNNNNNNNNNNNNNNNNNNNNNNNNNNNNNNNNNNNNNNNNNNNNNNNNNNNNNNNNNNNNNNNNNNNNNNNNNNNNNNNNNNNNNNNNNNNNNNNNNNNNNNNNNNNNNNNNNNNNNNNNNNNNNNNNNNNNNNNNNNNNNNNNNNNNNNNNNNNNNNNNNNNNNNNNNNNNNNNNNNNNNNNNNNNNNNNNNNNNNNNNNNNNNNNNNNNNNNNNNNNNNNNNNNNNNNNNNNNNNNNNNNNNNNNNNNNNNNNNNNNNNNNNNNNNNNNNNNNNNNNNNNNNNNNNNNNNNNNNNNNNNNNNNNNNNNNNNNNNNNNNNNNNNNNNNNNNNNNNNNNNNNNNNNNNNNNNNNNNNNNNNNNNNNNNNNNNNNNNNNNNNNNNNNNNNNNNNNNNNNNNNNNNNNNNNNNNNNNNNNNNNNNNNNNNNNNNNNNNNNNNNNNNNNNNNNNNNNNNNNNNNNNNNNNNNNNNNNNNNNNNNNNNNNNNNNNNNNNNNNNNNNNNNNNNNNNNNNNNNNNNNNNNNNNNNNNNNNNNNNNNNNNNNNNNNNNNNNNNNNNNNNAGAGACUUGCUCACCAAUCGGUAGGAUUUUUGGAACUUAGGCGAGUACUGGACUGCAACUAAGCCCCGAGUGAGAGACUUGCUUACCACUUGGUAGGAUUUUUGAAACUUAAGCGAGUACUGGACUGCAGCUAAGCCCCCGAGUGAGAGACUUGCUCACCACUCGGUAGGAUUUUUGAAACUUAGACAAGUACUGGACUGCAGCUAAGCCACCCACGGGGGGUUUCAGAAACAUAUGUAAACAAUCGACAAUCUUUUCAAAAGACUGUAAAACUCUUGUCUUUGAUAAACAUAAUACAAAGGUGUUUUUUAUUACAUCUUAGUAGACUGAGUGUUUAAGUAUAAAAGGGGCGGAGCAGCUCCGCAUUCUAGGCGCGCGGCUCGACUUUCUUGUGCUCGACAUCGUAAAGGUGGUACACUCCAUUGUGGAGCACUCUGGUGACCACGAAGGGGCCUUCCCAAGAGGGAGCAAGCUUGUGUGGUUUCUGCUGAUCCACUCGAAGAACUAAGUCUCCCUCUUGAAAUGCUCGACCCCUCACAUUUCUAGCAUGGAAUCGACGCAGAUCUUGCUGAUAAAUGGUUGAUCGGAUCAAGGCCAUCUCUCUUUCUUCUUGAAGGAGGUCAAUUGCAUCUUGUCACGCUUGUUCUACUUCUUCCUUUGUGAAAAGCUCGACUCGGGGUGCAUUGUGGAGCAAGUCACUCGGAAGUACAGCUUCGGCUCCAUAAACCAAGAAAAACGGGGUUCUGCCAGUCGACCGAUUGGGAGUUGUCCUCAAUCCCCAUAAUACUGAUGGAAGUUCACCGACCUAGGCUCCUGCUGCAUGUUUGAGAUCACGCAUCAGUCGAGGUUUCAGUCCUUUGAGAAUCAAUCCAUUUGCCCUUUCAGCCUGUCCAUUCGACUGGGGGUGAGCGACCGAUGCAUAGUCGACUCGAGUACCUUGUGAAGCACAAAAAGUCCUGAACUCAUCAAAAUCAAAGUUUGAUCCAUUGUCAGUGAUGAUGCUGUGGGGAACACCAUAUCUGAACAUUAUCUCUCUGAUGAAGCUGACGGCAGUACUGGCAUCAAGGUUCUUGAUUGGCUUGGCUUCAAUCCAUUUGGUGAACUUGUUGACUGCUACAAGCACAUGAGUGAAUCCACUCCUGCCAGUCCUAAAAGGUCCAACCAUAUACAAUCUCCAAACAGCAAAAGGCCAGGUGAGGAGAAUGGUUUUCAGGGCUGACGCAGGCUUGUGAGACAUGUUGGAGUAGAACUGACAACCUUCACAUUUGUCGACUAUUUCUUGUGCCAUCUCAUUUGCUCGAGGCCAGUAAAAUCCCGCACGGUAUGCUUUGGCCACAAUGGUCCGAGAGGACGCAUGGUGACCACAGGUCCCCGAGUGGAUAUCAUUGAGGAUCACUCGACCUUCUUCAGGUGUUAUGCAUUUCUGGCAGACUCCAGUCACACUUUCUUUGAACAACUGUCCUCUUAUCACGGUGAAGCCCUUAGAUCGAUGGACGAUCUGUCGAGCCUCUUCUUCAUCUUCUGGGAGUUCUCUUUUAAGAAUGUAUGCGAUAUAUGGUAUCGUCCAAUCGGGGGUGAUGACCAAAAUGUCCAUGAUCAAGUCGACCACGGCUGGAAUCUUGAUUUCAGUCGGAUCGAUGGCACUCUUUGGCUGUGGGGGCUCUUCAGUGAAGGGAUCUUCUUGAACCGAGGGUGCAUGAAUAUGCUCCAGGAACACAUUACUGGGAAUGGAUUCUCUCUUGGAGCCUAUCUUUGCCAGAUCAUCGGCUGCUUGAUUUUUCAGCCGGGGGAUGUGAUGGAGCUCUAACCCCUCGAACCUCUUUUCUAACUUUCUUACUGCAUUGCAAUAACCAGUCAUGGCUGGGCUUCGGACGUCCCACUCCUUCAUCACCUGAUUGACCACUAGAUAUGAGUCGCCAUAGACCAUGAGGCGACGGACGCCGAGUGAAAUGGCCAUACGCAACCCAUACAGAAGUGCCUCGUAUUCAGCCUCAUUGUUGGAGGAGUCAAAGUGAAUCUGGAGAACAUAACUGAGUUUGUCACCACGGGGGGAGGCCAAUACCACUCCAGCACCGGAACCAUUCAGCAUCUUGGACCCAUCGAAGAACAUGGUCCAAUGCUCCGAGUGAAUUUGGGCUGGAAGUUGCUGUUCGAUCCACUCGGCGAGGAAAUCAGCUAUUACUUGGGACUUAAUAGCCUUCUUUGCUUCAAACUUGAUAUCCAGGGGAAGGAGUUCAAUCGUCCACUUUGCCACUCAACCAGUUGCAUCUCUGUUGUUCAGAAUCUCCGACAAUGGAGCGUCGCUGAUGACUGUAACCGAAUGAUCAGAGAAAUAGUGUGCAACCUUCUUUGUGGUCAUGUAAAUUCCAUAAACAAGCUUCUGAUAAUGGGGAUAUCUUUGCUUUGAUGGAGUCAGGACUUUAGAAACAUAAUACACUGGGCGCUGAACUUUAUAAGUUUUCCCUUCUUCUUCACGCUCGACCGUGAGUACUGUACUGACAACUUGUCCAGUGGCUGCAAUGUAAAGCAGUAAAGGCUCUUUGCUGAUUGGUGCAUCAAGCACCGGCUGGGUGGAAAGCAGGGCUUUGAGCUCUACAAACGCUGCAUCAGCUUCGGGAGUCCACUCUAACUUAUCAGACUUCUUCAUCACUCGGUAAAGCGGCAGUGCCUUUUCACCGAGACGAGAGAUGAACCGACUCAAAGCGGCCAAACAACCAGUAAGCUUUUGGACAUCGUGCACACGCACAGGGCGUUUCAUCCGAAGAAUGGCACCAACUUUCUCUGGGUUAGCAUCGAUCCCUCGUUCGGAAAUAAGGAAACCGAGUAAUUUUCCGCCAGGAACUCCGAAUGUGCACUUUGAUGGAUUAAGCUUGAUAUCGUACCUUCUGAGGUUGGCAAAGGUUUCGGCAAGGUCAGCCAGCAGGUUGGAACCUUUACAUGAAUUGACUACAAUGUCAUCCAUGUAUGCUUCCACAUUCUGACUGAUUUGAGUGAGCAGACACUUCUGGAUCAUUCUCAUGAAUGUGGCUCCGGCGUUCUUCAGGCCAAAUGGCAUAGUGACAUAACAGAAACAUCUGAAUGGAGUGAUGAAAGCCGCUUUUAUCUCAUCGGGUCCAUACGGUCAGAUCUGAUGGUACCCAGAAUAGGCGUCCAAGAAGGACAAACGCUCACACCCCGCAGUUGAAUCGACAAUUUGGUCGAUGCGGGGAAUAGGAAAAUGAUCUUUCGGGCAGGCCCGAUUGAUAUGCUUGAAGUCAAUGCACAUGUGAAGUGAAUCAUCCUUCUUAGGGACCAUGACAACAUUGGCGAGCCACUCGGAGUGGUAAAUCUCUCGGAUGAACUCAGCUGCCAGGAGCCGAGCCACUUCUUCGCCAAUUGCUUUUCUCUUCUGGACGGCGGACUGUCGAAGAUGUUCCUUGAUUGGUUUUACUUUCGGGUUGACUCGCAAACGAUGCUCAGCCAGUCCCCUGGGUACACCCAGCAUGUCAGAAGGUUUCCAUGCAAAGAUGUCCUAGUUCUCACGGAGGAACUGGAUGAGCACUUCUUCCUAUUUGCUGUCAAGUGUUGACAAGAUAUGGGUCGGAGCAGCAUUGGGAUCGAUCGGGUGGAUAUGAAUCAGCUCCGUUUCCCCUGACGACUGAAAUGUGGACUCUGUGGUAGGCUUCUUGGCUCGCAGCAAAUCACUCGGAUCUGCAUUUUUCUGGUACUCUUGCAGUUCCACUACUGCCAUCUGUGCGUCAACAAUUUUUGAGCCCUUCUGGAAGCACUCUUCUGCCUUCUGCCGAUUGCCAGUGACAGUGAUUACUCCUUUGGGACCAGGCAUCUUCAAUUUGAGAUACACGUAACAUGGCUGAGCCAUAAAACGUGCAUAAGCGGGUCUCCCUAGGAUGGCAUGGUAAGAACUCUUGAAAUCCACUACCUCAAACAUCAACUUUUCCUUGCGGUAAUUCUUGGAAUCACCGAAAACCACAUCAAGUGUGAUCUGGCCGAGUGACUGAGCUUUCUUGCCAGGUAUAACACCGUGGAAACUCAUGUUGCUUUCACUCAGCUUGGACAUCGGAAUGCCCAUUCCCUUCAAGGUUUGAGCAUAAAGAAUAUUCAAGCCAUUGCCACCAUCCAUCAGCACUUUAGUCAGUCGGGUGCCUUCGACUACUGGGUCGACCACCAGUGCUUGCCUCCCAGGGGUGGCUAUAUGCGCUGGGUGGUCUGACUGGUCGAAUGUGAUGGCAGUCUGGGACCACUUAAGAUCUGGGUGUUGCCAGAGCAACCAUGUUCACCUCCCUGUUAAUAACCUUCAAUCGACUUUUGCUUUCAACAUCAGCAAAAAUCUUCAGCGUGGAAUUGACAUUGGGAAAGCCGUCAUCAUCUUCUUCCCUAUCCUCACGUCCAUCCGACUCCUUUUCCUAUUCCUUGGGUUGUUUCUCUUGGAACUGCUGAAUCAGGAAAUGACACUGUCGAGUGGUGUGUUUAGGGUAAAUGAUGUUCCCCUCUUCAUCUUUCUUGGUAUGAAUAUGGCACGGUAAAUCCAACACAUCAUUCCCAUCUUUAUCCUUAACUCUCUUGGGAUUCUAGGGCCCUUUGGGUUUUCCCUUGAACUUUCCUUGGGUAACAGCUAAAGCUUCACCAGGAGCAGCUGGUUCAGCUUUUCGCUUCUAUUUCCGACUAGAAUUCCCUCCUCUGGUUUCUUGGGCGACUGUUUUGUGUUUGCCACUCCGGAGUCGGUCUUCCUCUUCACCAUUGGCAUAUUUGGUGGCGAUCUCCAUCAUCCGAGUCAGAGUCAUAUCUCCUGUCCGACCGAAUUUCAGUUUCAAUUCCCGAUACUUAAUGCCUUCCUUGAAGGCACAAAUUGCUUAGUGAUCUGACACAUUAUCCACUGUAUGGUGCAACAUCCAUCUCUGGAUAUAAUCCCUCAAAGUUUCAUUCGGUUUAUUGGCACAACACUGCAAUUCUGUCAACCCUGCCAGCCUUUUUGCAAGUGCCUUCAAAGGUCCUAACAAACACUCGAGCAAGUUCUUCUCAACUAUAAGUGCUGCCAGGAGCCAACUGAUUCAACCACGCUCUGGUAGAGCCCUCCAACAUCAAGGGGAGGUACUUCAUGGCUACAUCAUCAUUGCCACCACCAAUCUGCACAGCCACUCGGUAAUCUUCAAGCCAAGUGUUUGGCUUGGAUUCACCGGUGAACUUGCUGACUCCAGUCGCCAACCUGAAGUUUGGAGGAAUCACUGCUACUCUGAUGGUUCUGCUGAAACACUCGGGUCCUGAAACGUGUACCUUGCUUCUAGUCGGAUAAUCUCUAUCGUGGCCUUCUUUGUGAGCUCUAUUUCUAUCAACCAGACCUUGAACGAGGAUUGACCUUGCAUCAAAGCCUGGUUCUCUAGGGUUGACUGGAAUUCUCCGUUCGCUGCUGUGGGGGCGCCUGUCAUCUUGCCGCCGAGGCACGUACGACCCACUCCUCAAAGGAGACGUGGGCACUCGACGACGAUCAUCGUGAUCGAGUCGAUGAUCAUACUGCUCACGGUUCCUGUACUGAUCUUGCUGGUAUCCACGUCCCUCACGCUGCGGAGGCGGUCUCGGGCUAUGGGCAGACUGGACAGUAUCCGCCACCACAGACCUGCUAUGAAUCCUAUUCCGCGACUGAGAUACCGCUGUAUUCUGCUCUCUUGCUGCCCGGAGUAAAGCCCGGAUCUGCAUCAAACCUUGGCCAGCUUCUGACUGGGAAGGUUGAAUUGACUCUGCUAUUCGAGCUGCAGCUGUGAAAUUCUAGAUCAGAGUUCGAUAUACCUGAGUCGGAGGCAGAAAAAGUUGUCGUCGACUGGACUCGGGGAUCCGCUGCCGAGCACGCUCGUCGAGUGCGUGCUGGAGGUUCUCUAGUCGAGUGCGCUCAGCCAAGUUGGCCAGGCGCGCCUCCUCCAAGGCCUGGGCCUCGGGGGUUUCUCCAACGACAGGAGUGUGGAGCGCAUCCAUAUAACCGCGACGAAGAUCUUCCCUCCGCUGCGAAGAGAGGGGUUCGGGAUGGUACUCCUCGUCAACACGCGACGGAUCACCGCCGCCAUCGCCACCGCCUUCCUGAGUGAAGCCAGGAGGACUGCGUGGUCCAUUGACCAUCAAGACUUCUGCCAUGGGGUCGCUGUUGUCGCAUUCAGACACAGUCUCGACGGAGCCAGUCGACAGAUCGAACAGGCCGUAGAGAGUUUCAUGGGGCUCGAUUGCCGCGAUUUGCGGGGUGGCCGAUUGGCGAGCAACCGCAUGCCUCACCCACCGCUGAAGCCGCGACCGAUCGGAUCGCUGGUGCUGGCGAACAACGGAGAGGGAGGUUGCCACAGGAGUCAACUGAUAUGGAGUCGACGGUUGUCGAAGAAGGACGCCGCGAACGCACGUGCGGAAGUGCGUCACCCCGCGGACGGGUAGCGCCUCGACAUCGAGUGGAGCUUCAUGAAGCCAAGCAGCGGCGUCGGCGAUGAAGACGAGCACGCCGAGAUGGAUCUCGCGGCCUUCAGCCAAUCCUCCACCGGAAACCAUGAUGAUGGGAAUCGGAAGAAUCACAACUUCUCCAAUAAACUGCUAAGACACCGGCCCCAUGGCGGGCGCCAACUGUCGUGGUUCUAAGUCUACCAGUAGAAUGGGGGUAGGGAUGUAGAGGCAACAUCCUAGCUAUGGAGGAGUUGUACACACGAGUUUUACGACUUCAGGCCCUUCUCGGAGGAAGUAACAGCCCUACGUCUCGGAGCCCGGAGGCGGUCGACUGAUUAUAUGCGUGUGAGUUACAGGGGGUGCGAACCCUUGUCCCAGAGGAGGGGGUGGCUUAUAUAGAGUGCGCCAGGACCCCUGCUCCCCUCCGUUACACAGGUUUCAAUGUACAUUAAGAGAGGAACGUUACUGGUAACGCUAGCCAUUAAAUGCUAUAAAUGACAAUUAAGCCUAUAAGUAAAUGCUCGACCGUUGUUGGUGCAGAGUGGCUUUAGAUCUUCUGUUCGUCGAGUGGCUUCUGCGACGGUCGAGUGCCAUUGAUUCUUCCGAGUGGAACGUCUCUGGUCGAGUGGAUAAUGGUACCCUUUGAAUGAUUCUGGCUUUAGGGUGAUGUCCUAGGGGAAGGUGUCUAAGUCAGGCUUAUGACCCUACCCUAGGUACAUAACCUCAUCACCUUGCUGCCCUUACUGUCACUAGGAAAGGACACCGCAAGAUUGAACCCAAAGCUAAGCACUUCUCCCUUUGCAAGAAAUAUCAAUCUAGUAGGCCAAACCAAACUGAUAAUUCGAAGAGACUUGCAAAGAUAACCAAUCAUACAUAAAAGAAUUCAGAGAAGAUUCAAAUAUUGUUCAUAGAUAAACUUGAUCAUAAACCCACAAUUCAUCGGUCUCAACAAACACACUGCAAAAGAAGAUUACAUUGAAUAGAUCUCCACAAGAGAGGGGGAGAACUUUGUAUUGAGAUCCAAAAAGAGAGAAGAAGCCAUCUAGCUAAUAACUAUGGACCCGAAGGUCUGAAGUAAACUACUCACACUUCAUCGGAGGGGCUAUGGUGUUGAUGUAGAAGCCCUCCAUGAUCUAUACCCCCUCCAGCAGAGCUCCGGAAAAGGCCCCAAUAUGGGAUCUCGUGGAUACAGAAAGUUACGGCGGUGGAAUUAGGGUUUUGGCUCCGUAUCUGGUAGUUUGGGGGUACGUAGGUAUAUAUAGGAGGAAGGAGUAUGUCGGUGGAGCAACAUGGGACCCACGAGGGUGGAGGGCGCGCCUAGGGGGGUAGGCACGCCCCCUACCUCGUGCCUUCCUGGUUGAUGUCUUGACGUAGGGUCCAAGUCCUCUGGAUCACGUUCGUUCCAAAAAUCACGUUCCCGAAGGUUUCAUUCCGUUUGGACUCCAUUUGAUAUUCUUUUUCUGCGAAACUCUGAAAUAGGCAAAAAAACAACAAUUCUGGGGUGGGCCUCUGGUUAAUAGGUUAGUCCCAAAAAUAAUAUAAAAGUGUAUAAUAAAUCCCAAUAAUGUUCAAAACAGGAUAUAAUAUAGCAUGGAACAAUCAAAAAUUAUAGAUAUGUUGGAGACGUAUCAACCUGUUGUUGACACACUUGAGAAUCCUAAUGAUAUUUCUAUUUCUGAUGCCGAAACACAAUCUGGUGAUGAACAUGAACCUAGUGAUAAUGUUAAUGAUGAUGUUCAUGUUGAUGCUUAACCUAGUAAUAACAAUGAUGUAGAAAUUGAACCUGCUGUUGAUCUUGAUAACCCACAAUCAAAGAAUCAACGUUAUGAUAAGAGAGACUUUUUUGCUAGGAAGCACGGUAAAGAAAGAGAACCAUGGGUUCAGAAACCCAUGCCUUUUCCUCCCAAACCAUCCAAGAAAAAGGAUGAUGAGGAUUUUGAGCGCUUUGCUGAAAUGAUUAGACCUAUCUUUUUACGUAUGCGUUUGACUGAUAUGUUUAAAAUGAAUCCAUAUGCUAAGUAUAUGAAGGAUAUUGUUACAAAUAAGAGAAAGAUACCGGAAGCUGAAAUUUCCACCAGGCUCGCUAAUUAUACUUUUAAGGGUGGGAUACCAAAGAAACUUGGAGAUCCAGGAGUAGCAACUAUACCAUGCUCCAUUAAAAGAAACUAUGUUAGAACUGCUUUAUGUGAUCUUGGAGCCGGUGUUAGUGUUAUGCCUCUCUAUUUAUAUCGUAGACUUGGUUUGAAUAAGUUGACACCUACUGAAAUAUCUUUGCAAAUGGCUGAUAAAUCAACUGCUAUACAUGUCGGUAUUUGUGAGGAUGUGCCUGUUGUAGUUGCAAACAUUACUAUUUUAACAGACUUUGUUAUUCUUGAUAUUCCCGAGGAUGAUAGUAUGUAUAUUAUUCUUGGAAGACCCUUUUUGAAUACUGCAUGGGCUAUUAUCGAUAUCCAUAAAGGCAAUGUCACUUUUCAUGUUAAUGGUAAUGAGCAUACGGUACACUUUCCGAGGAAACAACCUCAAGUCCACAGUAUCAAUUCUAUUGGAAAAAUUACAUCGAUUAUUAUUGGAGGUUUUGAAUUCCCUCUUCCUACUGUCAAAAAGAGACAUGCUAUUCUUAUUGUUGGGGAUGUGCAUAUCCCCGUUGAGAUUACAUAGUGUUAUUCGAAAUUUCUCCGGUUCCAUGUUAUUCUGAAUGAGUUUGUUAAUAAGACUUGAUCAACCUUGUUAAUGGAUUCCUUUUGAUGAGCAUGAGAUGGAUGAAGUUAGAAAGCAGAACCUUCUGUACCCUCCUUUUACUUUCUGCUAUUUAGACUAAAUAAAGCAAAAAUAGUAUUUUCUAUCUGUUUUUUGAAUUAUCCUGAAAUAAAAAAUACCUCGAAAAUAAAAGUUCUCCAAAUGCCCCGAAAAUGAAAUAUGAUUUUUUUUCUAGAAUAUUUGAGAAUAUCUGGCACUGAGAACACAUCAGGGGGAGCAAGCACCUUGCCACGAGGGUCCAGGGCGCGCCCCUGCCUCGUGGGCCCAUGGUGGCUCCCCUCCACUUAUUCCAACCACCACACACUCCUUCCUCCCAAAAAAUCACCAACCAGCUCAAGCAUGAGUUCUUGCUCAUCUUGCUGCCAUUUUCGAUCUCCUUGCUCAAAGCUCCACUCACAAAACUGCUUAGGGGGAUUGUUCUUCGGUAUGUGACUCUCCCAAUGGUCCAAUUAUUUUUUGUUCUAGUGCUUUAAUCAUUGCAAAUUUUUGCUGUUUAGGUGACCCUGUUCUUGAGCUUGCAUGUCAAAUUUAUAUGGUCCCAAGUAGUUCUAAUGCAUGAUAUAGUCUCUAGGCACUUGUGGGAGUAGUAGCUAUCAAUUUUGUUGAGUUUGGUUCACCUUUAUUUUGAAGUCACUAAAUUUUUUAGAAAUUUUCAGAAAAUGAUGAAGAGAUUUUUGAGGGGUUCUUCGAGCCGAACCUCGAGGGAUAAGCAAAGUGAAGAAGACGAGAGGCCCAAAUAUAAUCUCCCUCGCACCGCGGAGGUUCGGCCGUGUGAAUGGCCUUGUGAUGAUUUCUUGAGAGCAGCCGGGAUUUAUGAUGAUUUUUAUGAGUUGGCUAAGAAUGCAGGCCUCACCGACUUCCUCCACGACCAACGCGAACAAUAUCUCUUACUCACUAAUAUUUUUGUGCAAAAUUUCCAUUUCCAAGCUAGGAGGUCACCACCUUCGGUGGAUUUCUAUUUAUAUGAUGAGUAUAAGGAGAUGUCCCUCCUUGAAUUUUGUGAGGUUUGCAAGUUGCCCUUUUUGGUCAGCGUAGAGGAACCACAUCGUAACGAUGUGGAGGGGUUUAUUGAUACAAUUGCUGUAGGGGAAACUAGGAAGGUUUCCGAUGCAAGAAUUACUAGCAUACAUUUUCCUGUCCUACGUUACUUUGCAAUAUUUUCUAGUAGAUGCUUGAUCGGUCGCGGAAACUAUGGCAACCUAAGUGCCCCUGAUAUUGUUCUUUUGUGCCAUGCCCUGUUUCGUGAUGACACAUUUAGUAUGGGUGCUAUUGUUGCAAAGUGGUUAAAUCUUACCCGUACUAAGGGCCCCAUCUUGGGAGGCAUCUUCACCUCGCGCCUCGCUGCAUACUUUAACAUACCUAUUAGGCAUUAUGAGAAAGAAGAAAAGUUGUUGCCUCCUGUUUUUCUAGACUACAAGAGUAUGGUUGCACAUGAUUUCAUUUUUAAGAACAAGAAAAAUGAGCUUAACUAUAGACUAAUAUUUGAUAAAAAUCACCCUGAGACUAUUACUUUGCCGGCUCCUUCCUUAUUUGACUUAUCUGCAGGCAAGUACCUUGUUCCGCUGGAGGCCAUUCACGCUUACCAAAACCCCACACCAGCUACAGAGCCAGAACUGGGACCACAAUUUGAUCCUUCAUGACCGUCUGUUUACCAGUGGGAUCCGGAGGAGAUUGCCAACCAGUGGCAACCCGAGGCUUCUUCUCAGUACGACCCCAAAUACAACUUUGGCUAUCCGCCAGGCCAGCCGUGGCAGUAGACCAACUUAGGCCAAAAGCCUAUGAAAGUGCUAGUGAUCGACUAGAGGGGGGGUGAAUAGGCGAUUUUUAUGAAAGUCUUCAAAACAUGGAAGUUUCGAAGACAAACGAUAGAAAUAAACCUAUUACCAUGCAGCGGAAGGUAGACUACACUAGGCAAACCAUAGUCAAGUAUUCAAUGAAGUGAAAGCAUAAUGACUAAUAGUAGCUAGGCAGUAAGAUCAGGUAGGAAGAUAUUGUGAAGCCAAUCAGAACAAGUAGUCACUCAGUGAAGACAAAAGAUAAUGCAAUCAUAUAAUGACUUCACAAGGACCAACAGUAAGCAAAGGGAAGGGAAGGAUUAAACCAGUGACUCGUUGAAGACAAUGAUUUGUUGGACCAGUUCCAGUUGCUGUGACAACUGUACGUCUGGUUGGGGAGGCUGAGAUUCAACUCAGAAGACCUUGUCUUCACCUUAUUCCCCUUGAGCUAAGGACACCCAGUCCUCGCCCAAUCACUCUGGUAAGUCUUCAAGGUAGACUUCCAAACCUUCACAGACUUCGUUCACCGGCAAUCCACAAUGACUCUUGGAUGCUCAGAACGCGACGCCUAACCGGCUGGAGGAUUCACAGUCCUCAAGUGUAAUAAGUCUUCAGAUCACACAGACAGGAAGACUUAAGUGAUGCCUAACACUCUUUGGCUCUGGGUGUUUAGGGCUUUAUCCUCGCAAGGAAUUCUCUCUCAAAGGCUUCGAGGUGGGUUGCUCUCAAACGACAAAAGCCGUACUCUAACUCUGAGCAGCCAUCCGUUUAUGGUUGUAGGGGGUGGGCUAUUUAUAGCCACUAGGCAACCCGACCUGAUUUGUCCGAAAUGACCCUGGGUCACUAAGGAACUGACACGUGUUCCAACGGUCAGAUUUCAAACACACACGACAACUUUACUUGGGCUACAAGCAAAGCUGACUUAUCCAACUCUGGACAAGAUUUGCUCUCAUAGUCUUCACUCGAAGACAUAGGAUUUUGGUUAGGCAUCAUUUCAGUCAUUCUGAAUGGUUCUCUUGGACCCCACUUAACAGUAGGUGGUUCCUAUGACUCAACAAAGAAGAAAAAGAACGACGAAAGAACUAAGUCUUCGCGCUCCAUAGUCUUCACGCGAUGUCUUCUCAUGUCAUAGUCUUCAAUGUGAAUGUCUUCACAUACCACCUUUGACUUCAAUGUCUUCAUACAUUUUUAGGGGUCAUCUCUGGUAGGAAAACCGAAUCAAUGAGGGACUUCUUCCUGUGUUAUCCUGCAAUUCUCACAAACACAUUAGUCCCUCAACUAGGUUUGUCGUCAAUACUCCAAAACCAACUAGGGGUGGCACUAGAUGCACUUACAAUCUCCCCCUUUUUGGUGAUUGAUGACAAACUAGUUGAAGUUUUCAACGGGGAAUAAAAUAUGUGAAAUUGUAAAGGAUAGGUUAUUGUCUUCAUAAGUGGAAAAGGCUCCCCCUAAAGAUGUGCAUAUAAGUAAUUUGCUUUCGGUAUGCAAAUGCACAUGGCAGGUUGUACUUGUGGAGAUCCUCUUCAACUUAUGAUGACAAUUCAUCAUGCAUGAAAAGUAUGUGAAGAUAAUGACAUGCAUAAUAAAAAUGGACGUCUGCAAAAUGAUCUAAGUGCGGAAUUUAUUGUCGCACAUGCGGAAUUUAUCAUCGCAUCACAGUAAAGCAAAUAAGUGGCAGACGACCAUCGAGUUUGAGUGUUACAACUCAAAGAACCAAAUGUAUCAAAACGCAAGAGUUGUAAACACUAGGCAAAAUAUAAAACCACCGCCCAUAUGGACUCGCUUGAAGACUAUCAAACUCAUAUGCUUCUCCCCCUUUUGUCAGUAAGGACCAAAAAGAUUUGAAGACAUAGAGCAUCUACUCGUUCCCAUGAGGAGUAGGUGAAGCGGCAGGGUCGUCGGUGUUGAUAGGCGGUGUAGACGAACUUGGGGCAGUGUCGAUGCAUGCAGAAGUAGGGGGCGGUGAAGUAGCAUCGUCUUCAUCAUCGAUCACUCUGGCAUUCACAGUUGCCGCGGAGGAAGAGAACUCAGAGUCUUCAAGAGACGGAGUUCGUCACAGCAUAGUCCUUCUUGGAGGUGUAGAGUCAAACUUGAAGCAUUCAGAGAAGCCAUCCUCUUGAAGAUCAUCCUCAAAGCACAUAAGCGUCAGCCCUUUCCAUGUACGCCGAGAGGUUUCAUGGGCAACAAAGGCAUUCUUGGUGGCAAGAUUGCGAAUCCUGUUUACGUCCACCAAGAGGCUUUGCAUUUGGCACUUCAGCCAGUCAUGAUGCUUAUCCUGUUUCUGAUGAAAGGCAACCAUAAGCUCUCGAUCAUUCAGAACACGAGAUCGCUUCUUGGGCCGUUGGGCAAUGGUGCUUUCAGUGGCUUUAGUGAGGGCACGAUGAGGUGCACAUGUAGUACCAGCUAGAGGAUAAACACGAGUGACUGCUUGAACUCCUUCAAUGUUUUGAGAGAAGCUUUGAUUCUCAGCAUUUUGAAGACUAAGGGGCUCCUUGGCAGGCUCUGGAUAGAUGGCUUCAACUGACAUAUCGAUGUCAGGCAGAAAGAUCCGAUGAUUGCGAGCAGAGGGCUGAUAGGUGACAGCUGAGUGUAGUUUGAUCAGCUGCAUAAUCCAUGGAGCAUAAAACUUCAAGCCCAAAAUGUCAGAUCCUGAUGCAGCAAGCUGGCGAAUGAAGAAAUCUUGUGCAUUGAACCUUUUGCCAUGAAGAAUAUGAAAGACCAAAGUCUUCAUUGUGCCUUCUAGCUUCGCAUGUGGAGAAUGUCCUUUGAUGGGCCAGAGAGUUCGCCUUAUGAUGUGAUAGAUAGUACGUGGCAGAUACUCAAGGUCUUCAACAAAGAACUCCUUAGGAUAUUCAGCAUCUGGAGGCAAAGGCUUCAUCAUGCUGAGCAUCUGACUCAUAUUGGGCUCAGGCUUGUGGAAGAUGCUUUCCAUAGCAGCACUGUGAAGCUGACAACCAGGUUCAUACAGAUCUCCUGGAGUGGGCAGACCAGUAAGCUCAAUGAUAUCAAAGGCUUUGGCUUCAUGAUGAACAUUGCCUGUCAUCCACUCAAGGACCCAAGUCUUCGGAUCCCUGUUGUAGCCACGGAUAUGAAGAGUGGCAUAGAAUUGGAGCAACAGUUCUUCAUUCCAGUACUCCUUAUCAGUGACGAACUGCAGCAAGCCAGACUCUCUGAAGCAAUCUAGAGCCUCUUCCAAACAGGGCAGACCAGUUAUGGCUUCAGUGUCAAGAUGCAUAUGUGGAAAAAUGCGACCUUGAUUGUACAGAAUGCAUGAGUAAUAACUUCGCUGCUGAUAGCUCCAGAACCGAUCAGAAGAUAUUCUUGCCUUUGAGUAGGGGUUCUUGGCGCUAUUGAAGAAGGUGUUGUGUGCCUUGAAGCCAUUGAUAUUGAACGAUCCAGGUGCAGAUGUAGUGCCUGGAAACCUGGGCAACCUUGGUAUUGGCUUCUGAACCUGAGGCCUGUGCUCAAUGUGAUAGUCAAACUGAGGACCAGCAGCAGGCGGAGGAGUCAGAAAAGGUCAUUUGACAGUGACAAGUUGGCCAUAGUUGAAUGCUUGCUCGAUAGUGUGUGGCCGAGGUGGCGGAACAUGAGCAGUGGCAUUAACAGAGGCGUUAGGCUGCACAACAGAGGCUUCAGGAGCAAUUGCAUCAUUGGCUUCAUUAACUUCUGGUACAUUGGUUGUUGUAGGCUCCACAUUUGCUUCAGCCAUGACUACGUCAUUGGCUUCAUUUGUGUUGGUGGUGGCAGCCUCAAGAUUCUCAACCUCCACUUGAUGAGCUGGAGGGUCGGGCACAGACACGUUCUCCUCGAGAACAGCUUCUUUAGUAAUGGGGGGAGUAGGGACACGUUCUUCUUCUUGUUUGUCAUCGGCUGAUGCAGCCGGAAUGUCUUCAGCAGCUUUAGCCUCAGACUCGGAGACAUUCACAGUAGGAGUGGCAUCUGGAAAUACUUGACGUGCAACAGAUUGGUGGGGCACUUCUCCUUCUGGAACGCUCGAAAGAGGGACUUGAGGCCUUGGUCCUUUGCGAAGCCUGCGUAGCGCUGGCGACGCCUAUGGAGAUGGAGCUGGCUGGGCCUCAAAGUCAUCUUCUUCUUGCACUGAUGGGGUUGCUUGCGGUUCGGGAGAGCUUGGAGUGUCUUGUCUCUGUGGAUGAUCAGCCCACGAUGCAUCCUGAGCAGUUGGCGUCAUAGGACGACCAAUGUUGAUGAGUUCGCUGUGCGUAAGCAUAAUCGAUGAUACCAGUUGGUGCUCGAUCUGAGGAAGGACUUCAUCAUCUUCAACAUUGUCAUGGUGACCAAUGUCUUCAGCAGCGAUGGGGUCAACUGCUGGAAUGUCUUCAGCAUCAGGAGCUUCUGUGGAAGCAGGCUCAUGAACAAUCAGUUGGCACUCGUGGUGUUCAGAUGCAGGGUGAACCAUUGAGAUAGGUUCAACAACUAAGGGCUCUGUGGGAGCAGCCCGAUCCUUCUUGGUUUUGCGCUUUUUCUUAGAGGGAGCGACAUCAGAAGCUUCAGGAUUUUUCCUUUUUCUGGCUUCAGCCUCGGCAAUCCUUGUCUUCUUCAGUUUUGAAGCAGUUGACCUGACCUUUGGCUUCGAGUCAGUCAUGCUGCUUGGGAAGACUAUGCGAGGUUCUUCCUGCCUCGAAGGUGCAGAUUGGUCAGUUGAGGGCUUCUUCUUCUUUGCAGCCAUUCUUGGGUAGAUGCCAGGACGACCAAGAGCCUUGCGCUUCUCAGCCUCAUUGUAGGCUUGCACACACUUGUCAGCCAGGCUCUUCAUGCGCUCACGAGAACCUUGAGCUUCUUCACGCUUCUUGAGAAAGGCUUCUUUGAGCUCGUGCAGCAUGAUCUUGAAGUUUUUGACAUCUUGCAUGCUGAGCUUGGCCAUGUGCUUCUUGAACUGAGCUUUCUCAUAGUCGAUCUUUUGCUUCAGUUCAACGAUGCGCUGAGCUAGAGCUAGCUCAGAAGCAAUGGCGCUAGUGAAGGCGACACUGAGGCCAAUUGGAAGUUGCAGGUCUUCAAAGCUGAGGUUGGGCGUGUCAAACCACUCAUCGAUGAAGUUAUGGAUGAUUGCCACAUCAAAGAGAGGCAAAUCAUUGAAGCUCUCUGCUUCUUCCUUGCUCUUGAUCAGUUGCUCAAGAGCGUCAUCUGCAAGAUCUUCAUCGCUGGACAGAUCAAUGGCGUCAUUGCGCAGAACAGCAGCAGCAGUCAGUGCCUGAUCAGUAUUCUUUCUCAUCUCAGUCUUCUUGGAGAUACGUGAUAGAUCUUCAGACUACACACUGUCUUCAGGAGGUGCAAUAGCCAGUGGCUUCGCAUGUAAGACCUUUGGUGCAGGAGCAGGCUUUGAAGCUUUAGGCUUCUUCAGUUUCUUUGGCUUCGGCGGUGCAGGCGCUUCAUCAGAUUCAGCGUCAUCUGCAGGCUCAUCCACGGCUGUCCCUUGAACCAUGAUAUGAGUGAUGAGACCUUCCAGGUGGUAGAAGGGCCCAACAAGAUUGGGUUCAGCUUCGUGGGUGCCAUCAGCACGGGGAGCAGAAGGACCAGGGUUGAAGUCUAGUCCCAAUGUCUUCUUGUUUUGCUUAGCCGAGUUCUUGGCAAACUGGAAGUUGCGCUUGAACAGAUUGUCAUCACGACACCAUAUCAAUGACGAUGGAUCAGCAUCUGCAGGCUGUGGUCCACAGACCAUGCAGGGAUAGAAGCCUUGUUCAAUGGCUUCAUCUCUGGACCUAGGUUGAAGAUUUUUGUAUAGGAUGUCUCCCCAUGGUCGCUUGAUGGCAUUGUUCUCUGCAUAUUCCUAGGUCACAAACCUGUACUUGAACCAUUGCUCAGCCCAAUACCUUCGAAUCCAUUGGAUUCGUGUCUUGCGCUGAUUGUAAUCCUCUUCUGGGUCUGUCUUGUACAGCUUUGAGAGGUCAUCAGGCAGAUCUCUUGAUGUUCCCCCUCGACGCUGUCGGACACCCUUCCUUGUUGAUUUCUCUGUAGCCAUGAUCUUCAAACUGAAUGGUUUCAACAUGUUCAAAGGUUUCAAAGGCUUCCGAUUGCUGGUCAAACAGGAACUGGCUUUGCAAGAAUUUAUAUGAUGCUGUAAGAAUUCUGCAAAUGAAUGCAGACUAUGAGAACCAAGGGAUUCUCCCACGGACAUGUACCUGUGACAGCAUUAAGGUGCGAAGGAAGGGGAAGAGGUCAUAUGCAUUCUCAGAAGAUUUUGAAGAUAAAUCAGUUUAGAAGACAUUGACCUCAUAGUGCGAAGACAUUCACUCAUAGAUAGAGAGUUGGUUCCAGAUUUGUACGAAUCUACGAAUAAGUACAAGUGAGGAAUCUAACUACUUUGUGAAGCAUAAGUGAACAUACUAGGCAUAUUAUGAGAUGCAGUAUGAAAUAGAUCCAACUUGUGUGAACAGAAACUGCUUGUAGCAGAAAGUGAUGGAUCUAUAGAAUCAAAGGGGCCGUAAAAAGGAAGUUUUAUUUACCACACGAAGAACUGCUAGACGGAGUGGGAGAGGAGGCCGAGCAGAUCGAUCGUGCCCUAACUUGGCGACGGAGGACACCUACAGCGACGGCAGAGAAGACGAUGUCUGCGGCCGGCGUGAAGACGGAGUCGGUGAGGUCGCGGCAACUAAGCGCUUCGUCGCCAGCGUCGUCGAGGGUGAGCGAUGGUGCUAGGGUUUGUGCGAGAGUGGAAGAAAGGAUAAUGACUGUGGUGAGGCGUGUAUUUAUAGAGACAGGGACGGCACUGUGUUAUUACACAGGUGCCCCUGGCGAUUCACAUCUGAAGGACACGUGGCCAUCAUGCAACAUAUCGGAGGUUGUUCCACGUUCCCACGCACGCCUGGAUUGUCGGGUGGUCGUUCCCACUUCUCCGGGUUUCGGGUGAAGGAAUUAGCAUUGAAAACGGUAAUGUUUGUCUCUGGAUCUUCUGCUGACAAGGACGCAGAGAAGAUAUUUGAUAGUUUCGAUAGAAUGCAUAUGAUUUGGAGAGAUAGAGUUUGAGAUAGAAAGCAUAGAGAGGUUAGGGUCCGAUCACAUUCACUUAGUUCAAAAGAUUCAACAAGAAGACAUAGCUAUAAGUGAAUGAUGUAGAGGACAGAACACUAGUACAUAUAUAUAUAUAUAUAUAUAUAUAUGAGAAAGACAGUCAAAUCAACAUAGUGAAGAUAAUCAUGAAGACAAGUUGAGAUUGAAGCCAAACCAAAUGUGAAGACAUACCAAACGUAACGCCAUGAGUGAAGCACUUCAAACAGAAAAAUUUGGUGGUGGCGUUACCCACCGUAUAGGAAGUAUUAGACUCAGACACAGCGCACAAUUAUCGUGGCGCUCCAAAGUCAAAUUCCACAUUAAUGUAUUCACACUUAGAGUGUAAGUCUUCAUUGAUUGAAGAUAUACUUUACUUCGUGUGUUGCACAUCUAAGUCAUCAAUAUGCAUAAGUGUUAGGAUGUGUGCCUGAUCACAGGAUAUUUGAGGAUUCCAAGAUAUUUAGCUCACACCGUAACUUGCAAAACCUCUUCUCAUCCAAGGGCUUGGUGAAGAUAUCUGCAAAUUGCUCUUCAGUGUUGACGUGUAUGAUAUCAAUAUCUUCCUUCACAACAUGAUCUCUGAGAAAGUGAUGACGAAUUUCAAUGUGCUUUGUCUUCGAGUGCUGAACUGGGUUGUUGGCAAUCUUGAUGGCGCUUUCGUUGUCGCAGUAGAGUGGCACUUGCUUCAGAUGAAUGCCAUAAUCUUUUAGUGUUUGCUUCAUCCAUAGAAGCUGAGCGCAGCAAGAUCCAUCAGCAAUGUAUUCAGAUUCAACAGUGGAGAGAGAUACACAGUUCUGCUUCUUUGAAGACCAACAUAAAAGUGAUCGUCCCAAAAAAUGACAUGUGCCUGAUGUAGACUUGCGAUCCACCUUGUCACCAGCAUAAUCAGCAUCCAAGAAUCCAACCAGAUUAAACUCUGAGCCCUUUCGAUACCAUAAUCCUAAUUUUGGGGUGUGAGCCAAAUAUCGAAGAACUCGCUUCACAGCUAAGUGAUGCAAUUCCUUUGGUGCCGCUUGGAAUCGAGCACACAUGCAAACACUAAGCAUAAUAUCUGGCCUAGAUGCACAUAGAUAAAGUAAAGAAUCAAUCAUGGAGUGGUAUACCUUUUGAUCGAACUCUUUACCAUUGUCGUCGGGACCUAGAUGAUGUUUGGCGGGCAUUGGCGUCGUGAAGCCUUUGUAGUCUUGCAUCCCAAAUUUCUUUAGGCAAUCUUUGAGGUACUUCUCUUGAGAUAUGAAGAUGUCGUUGCGUUGCUGACGUAUUUGAAGACCAAGGAAGAACUUCAGCUCACCCAUCAUGGACAUCAGAUAUUGCUCUUGCAUCAUAUAUCCAAACUCGUCUGUGUAUUUCUGAUUGGUGCAGCCGAAGAUAAUGUCAUCCACAUAUAUUUGGCACACAAACAGUUCACCAUCAUAUGUCUUCGUGAAGAGAGUGGGGUCGAGGGAACCACGUUUGAAGCCUUUGCUCUUCAGGAAGUAUUUGAGUGUGUCGUACCAAGCCCGAGGGGCUUGUUUGAGGCCAUACAGCGCCUUGUUGAGCUUGUACACCAUGUCAGGAUGUUUUGGAUCUUCAAAGCCAGGCGGUUGUGCAACAUACACUUCUUCGUCAAUAUUGUCAUUGAGAAAAGCGCUCUUCACAUCCAUUUGAUACAGAAGAAUGUUAUGAUGAUUUGCAUAGGCCAGCAGUAUGCGUAUGGCUUCAAGUCUAGCCACAGGAGCAAAUGUUUCAUCAAAGUCAAUCCCUUCAACUUGAGUGUACCCUUGAGCAAUGAGACGAACUUUGUUUCUGACAACUUGACCGUGCUCAUCUUGCUUGUUGCGAUAUAUCCAUUUGGUGCCUACUAUACUGUGCUUGCGAGGAUCAGGACGCUUAACCAGUUCCCAUACAUUAUUCAGCUCAAACUGUUGAAGCUCUUCUUGCAUAGCUUGAAUCCAUUCAGGUUCCCAUGAAGGCUUCUUCAACUUUCUUGGGUUCAGAUAUUGAGACAAAUGCGAAGUGCCCACAGAAAUUUGCUAGCUGUGUUGCCCUUGAACGAGUGAGUAGACCAGGUGCACUGAUGCUAUCAAUUAUUCUCUCAAUCUGUACUUCAUUUGCGACACGAGGGUGUACAGGACGAAGAUUUUGCUCUUGCUGGUCAUUGUCAUCGUUAGAAGGAUUGUCUUCAGGCUGAGCAUUGUCUUCAGGUUGAUCAUUGUCUCCAGGUUGAUCAGGUGCGGAGAUGAUAAGUUCCUCUUCAGGCUGAGUUUCAGAAGGUAUGAUUUCUCCAGUUCCCAUAAGUUUAAUUGAUUCACUGGAUGGAACUUCAUCUAGCACAUUUGGCAGGUGCUCUCUUUGUGAGCCGUUAGUCUCAUCGAACCGCACAUCCACUGUUUUAACCACUUUAUAAUGAAAGAGGUUGAAGACUCUGUAGGAGUGCGAAUCCUUUCCAUAUCCAAGCAUAAAACCUUCAUGUGCUUUUGGUGCAAAUUUUGAAGUGUGAUGUGGAUCCUUGAUCCAGCACCUGGCACCAAAUACUCUGAAGUAACUAACAUUUGGCUUCUUGCCAGUAAGGAGCUCAUAGGAUGUCUUGUUGAGAAGCUUGUGAAGAUAAACACGGUUGAUGAUAUGGCAUGCAGUAUCAAUGGCCUCAGGCCAGAACUUUCUUGGAGUCUUGUAUUCAUCAAGCAUCGUCCGGGCCAUCUCAAUAAGUGUUAUGUUCUUGCGUUCCACGACGCCAUUCUACUAUGGUGUGUACGGAGCUGAGAAUUCAUGUGUAAUGCCCAAAGUAUCAAGAUAAGUGUCUAGACCAGUGUUCUUGAAUUCAGUGCCGUUAUCACUUCUGAUGUGCUUGAUCUUGAUGCCAUAGUUGUUCAUGGCUCGAUUGGCGAAGCAUCUGAAGACAUCCCGCACUUCAGUCUUGUAGAGGAUUAUAUGCACCCAAGUAUAUCUUGAAUAAUCAUCAACAAUGACAAAGCCAUAGAGACAAGCAGUAGUAGUAAGAGUUGAGUAAUGAGUGGGACCGAAAAGAUCCAUGUGGAGCAGUUCGAAGGGUUGAGUCGUUGUCAUGAUUGUCUUCGAGGGAUCCUUGGCCCUUGUCAUCUUUCCUGCUUCACAGGCACCGCAUAAGUGAUCCUUCUUGAACUUGAUGCCCUCGAUGCCUAUGACAUGCUUCUUCCUUGCAAGGGUGUGGAGGUUCCUAAUGCAGCAUGCCCUAGCCUCCGAUGCCAGAGCCAGCAUUCAGAAGCUUUUGCUAGAAGACAUAUAGCAAGUUGUGGUCCUGCUGAGAAAUCUACCAUGUACAAAUCAUCUUUCUGAUACCCUUCAAACACUAGAAACUUGUCAGAUUCCAUUAGUACAAGGCAACGAUAUUUUCCAAACAUCACAAUCAUGUUUAAAUCGCAAAAGCAUUGAAACAGACAUUAAGUUGAAACCAAGGGAUUCAACAAGCAUGACUUUAUCCAUGUGUUGAUCCUUUGAGAUUGCAACUCUACCUAGACCCAAUACCUUGCUUUUACCAGUGUCAGCAAAUGUGAUGUGACUUUUGUCAGAUGGACGUAGUGUUGAGUCCAUAAGAAGGCUUCACUUGCCAGUCAUGUGAUUGGUACACCCACUAUCAAUAAUCCAUUCUGAAGCAGUUGGUGUCGUACCCUACACUGCAGUUAGGGGGAUAGGCUUCACGAAGAGAAUUGUGAAGCAAAAACAUUUGACGAACCAGUGGAUUAUGAAAGCUUAGAUCGAGAUUUGGACUGAUAGGGCGAGUAGCAAGCGAUUCAGGAACAAAGUACAUAAUAAGACCAUUUGGGCAUUUGAUCUUGCGCCCUACAAGAUGUUUAAGGUCCCCAGCAAUAGCGUUAGACGAUUUUGGUUUUCGGCUGGAGACCUUUCCCUUGGCACCGCGUGCCAUGAAGCAGUAGGUAGGAGCGGAGUACUCCUUGUCAUUUGUAUCGGUGUCGGUGAUGAAGUCAUUGUCUUCAGUGUUGAAGAUGGACUUGGCAACGUAUGCUGUAGCCAGACUCGCAACGCCAGAAUCAGACUCCUCCUCAGACUCCACCUCCGCCUCCUCAGAAGCGGACUCCUCCUCUGAAUCCAUUUCCUUGCCAACAAACGCACGUGCCUUGCCAGAUGAGCUCUUCUUGUGUGAUGAAGAUUUUGAGGAAGACUUGGAAGAAGACUUUGAGAAUUUCUUCUUCUUCUUGUCGUCAAAGUCAUAUUCCUUGCUCUUCUUCUUCUUGUUCUUGUUCUCAUUGUCCCACUGCGGACACUCAGAGAUGUAGUGGCCAGGUUUCUUGCACUUGUGGCAUGUUCUCUUCUUGUAGUCAUGAGCAGAAGCUUCAUCAUUUCUUGAGCUUGAUCGUGAAGACUUUCUGAAGCCUUUCUUCUUGGUGAAUUUUUGGAACUUCUUCACAAGCAUAGCAAGCUCCUUUCCAAUGUCUUCAGGAUCAUCAGAACUGCUGUCAGAUUCUUCUUCAGAUGAGGAGACAGCUUUUGCCUUCAAGGCACGAGUUCGCCCAUAGUUGGGACCGUAGAUGUCUCUUUUCUCAGAAAGCUGAAACUCAUGUGUGUUGAGCCUCUCAAGUAUGUCAGACGGAUCGAGUGUCUUGAAAUCAGGACGUUCUUGAAUCAUCAAGGCUAGGGUGUCAAACGAGCUGUCAAGUGAUCUCAGGAGUGUCUUGACGACUUCAUGCUUGGUGAUCUCAGUGGCGUCGAGAGCUUGAAGCUCAUUUGUGAUGUCAGUGAGUCGAUCAAACAUGAGCUGGACGUUCUCAUUGUCAUUUCUCUUGAAGCGGUUGAAGAGGUUGCGAAGGACACUGAUUCUCUGAUCUCUCUGGGUUGAGACGCCUUCAUUGACCUUGGAGAGCCAGUCCCAGACUAGCUUAGAUGUUUCCAAAGCACUCACGCGGCCAUACUGCCCUUUGGUCAGAUGACCACAGAUGAUGUUCUUGGCCGUGGAGUCCAGUUGAACGAACUUCUUGACAUCAGCAGCGGUGACUCCUUCACCAGUCUUGGGAACGCCAUUCUUGACGACAUACCAUAGGUCGACAUCAAUGGCUUCAAGAUGCAUGCGCACCUUAUUCUUCCAGUAGGGAUAUUCAGUUCCAUCGAAGAUGGGGCAAGCAGCGGAGACUUUAAUUAUCCCUGCAGUCGACAUAGCUAAAACUCCAGGUGGUUAAACCGAAUCACACAAAACAAGGGAGUACCUUGCUCUGAUACCAAUUGAAAGUGCUAGUGAUCGACUAGAGGGGGGUUGAAUAGGCGAUUUUUAUGAAAGUCUUCAAAACAUGGAAGUUUCGAAGACAAAUGAUAGAAAUAAACCUAUUACCAUGCAGUGGAAGGUAGACUACACUAGGCAAACCAUAGUCAAGUAUUCAAUGAAGUGAAAGCAUAAUGACUAAUAGCAGCUAAGCAGUAAGAUCAGGUAGGAAGAUAUUGUGAAGCCAAUCAGAACAAGUAGUCACUCAGUGAAGACAAAAGAUAAUGCAAUCAUACAAUGACUUCACAAGGACCAACAGUAAGCAAAGGGAAGGGAAGGAUUAAACUAGUGACUCGUUGAAGACAAUGAUUUGUUGGACCAGUUCCAGUUGCUGUGACAACUGUACGUCUGGUUGGGGAGGCUGAGAUUCAACUCAGAAGACCUUGUCUUCACCUUAUUCCCCUUGAGCUAAGGACACCCAGUCCUCGCCCAAUCACUCUGGUAAGUCUUCAAGGUAGACUUCCAAACCUUCACAGACUUCGUUCACCGGCGAUCCACAAUGACUCUUGGAUGCUCAGAACGCGACGCCUAACCGGCUGGAGGAUUCAUAGUCCUCAAGUGUAAUAAGUCUUCAGAUCACACAGACAGGAAGACUUAAGUGAUGCCUAACACUCUUUGGCUCUGGAUGUUUAGGGCUUUAUCCUCGCAAGGAAUUCUCUCUCAAAGGCUUCGAGGUGGGUUGCUCUCAAACGACAAAAGUCGUACUCUAACUCUGAGCAGCCAUCCAUUUAUGGUUGUAGGGGGUGGGCUAUUUAUAGCCACUAGGCAACCUGACCUGAUUUGUCCGAAAUGACCCUGGGUCACUAAGGAACUGACACGUGUUCCAACGGUCAGAUUUCAAACACACACGACAACUUUACUUGGGCUGCAAGCAAAGCUGACUUAUCCAACUCUGGACAAGAUUUGCUCUCAUAGUCUUCACUCGAAGACAUAGGAUUUUGGUUAGGCAUCACUUCAGUCAUUCUGACUGGUUCUCUUGGACCCCACUUAACAAUACGGUGGUUCCUAUGACUCAACAAAGAAGAAAAAGAACGACGAAAGAACUAAGCUUCGCGCUCCAUAGUCUUCAUGCGAUGUCUUCUCAUGUCAUAGUCUUCAAUGUGAAUGUCUUCACAUACCACCUUUGACUUCAAUGUCUUCAUACAUUUUUAGGGGUCAUCUCUGGUAGGAAAACCGAAUCAAUGAGAGACUUCUACCUCUGUUAUCCUGCAAUUCUCACAAACACAUUAGUCCCUCAACUAGGUUUGUCGUCAAUACUCCAAAACCAACUAGGGGUGGCACUAGAUGCACUUACAGCCUAAGCUUGGGGGAGUAUGUAUAUCUCACCGACAUUACAUUCAUGUUCACACACUCAUUCUAGUUGUCGGUGCUCAUACUUUUUCAUUGUAUUAUCCUUGCUAGUUUAUUUUAUUUUUCUCGCUUUCUUCUUGUGUGUUUGAUAAACCUUAAGAAAAACAAAAAAAA
rnacentral:lncRNA from 1 species